rnacentral:lncRNA from 1 species
AACUAAUGUUAGAAAAAAAGUACACUGAAUUAGAAACUAAUGUUAGAGAGCAUGGACUAAAAAUAUACAUGUUUCCCAAUUUGGGUUCAACUUAAUAGCCUCCCCAAACUUAUCCACUAAAUAGGAUACCCUAAUCGUAGGGUUCUCAUUCACUCUAUAACAAGUGUGUGCAUACCUAUAGGUCUUGAUCUGCAAAGUGCUUAAUUGUUGCAUCUUACCUGCAUACAUCUCAAAGGGACAAUAUAUUGUCAGCUUUGCAUAUGACCCUAAUCUUAUCCUUGUCAGUCCUCGCAAACACUGGUAUCCACCCUUUUUGAAUUGCUCUUUCUCUAACAGCAGCUCUAAAAAUCUUUGGGGUUGCAAAUUUCAAGCCUAGGCAAAAUUGAGGGUCCAACAUAUCAGUUUUGGGGUUGAACUCAGGGUAAUCAUCAUCAUCUACUUCCCCAUCAGAUCCUAGCUGACCUCCAAUACACUCCUCGUCAGAGUCAACAGCACCAAACAUUGCUUCAUUAUCCUCAUCGUAUGACUCAUUCUCACCACCUGCAAUACUAGAUUGUUUUCUAACUCCUCCUAUCCAUUGUCCAAGUGCAUUAAACUCCACCUCCAUAUCACCUAACCAAUCCUCAUCUAAACCAUACUCAACAUAAUCUUCGUUGUCAAACUUGGGGUCAUAAUCCUCAUCUUCUGAACUACUCUCAUACCAGAAAUUCUCAGUAUCACUAAGGUAACUCGGCUCAUUGGGGACGCAUGGUCUUAAGUCUCUUGGUCCAGAGCUUGACACAUGAACAUUGUAAAGGUUGUCUUCCUCAUCAAAUUCGGAAGCAUGUACUUCAUGGAUAAUUUUUCCCUUCCCUUUGUCUUUAGACACAUUCACUUGAGCUGCGCUAGCUUGAGUAGGAACUAAUUCUGGCUCUCUAAUGACAAUUUCAGCUGCCCUCUUUGGUGCCACGCUGGGCUGCCUCCUCGAUGAAUCCGGUAACUCCUCAAUCACAACUCCACUUGAAGCAACUUGACUGAAAGCAAAAUCAUGAUACUCUUCCAUGAAGUCAUCCUCCUCCUCAUCAAUAUCCACAUAAUCUGGUUUCAAACACCAAUGAUCUAAGUAAAUAAUCACUAGCCUAUACUGUGGAACUCCACUACACAUGUUUAUCACAUCCAAAUCUGUCUCAAUUUUUUUCAAAUCCCCACCCUCAGUUCCACACUUAUACCAAUAAUCUAUUCUUUGGCUACCAUACUGUUGAUUCAACCCCCUCACCAUUGAAUCAACUUCAAUUAGUGAAAUGUUAUCCUUAUCCACAUUGUCAUAAAAACUUACCUUCCCACGUACAUACUCAUUGCCACUAAAAUAACCUCCAUGAUACAACUUCACUGUAAAGUAAUCUGGGUAACCUGCAUAACAAAAUAAUCUUAGUUUAUUUGAAAGUUGAAUACAUGAGUAAAACUAAGAAGAACAAAGCCAUUAUUUAAUAGUAGAAACCUAAUAAAAACUAGGACAACAAUUCUUAACAGUUUUUUGGACCACUUAAAGUAUUUUAAAAGAAACCACAACACUGUACUCACACAUGAUGGUGCUGCACCAUUGACAUUCCCAACUUUCAAUUAUGCAAAAGUUGAUAAAGCAUCUCAGAGGAAAAAAAAAAAACCACAACACUCACACCAACGGACUUGCUUUUAUUCACCUACUUUAUUCAUAACCAUAAACACAAGCAAACAACAAACCUAAUAAUUUAUCAUAUCUCAAUCCUUAUUUCAAUUCAAAAUCACUCAUUAUCAGUGACCUUGAAGCUACGAAGACCCCAUUUAGUCUCCCAUAAGAAACCCUGCAAUUAUCCCUACAACUGAAACAGAAUCUCAACCGAAAAUCCUCCCGAAAACCAGGUUCCGAUUACGUACAAAACCCUGAUCCUUGAAACAAAAACCCCAGUCGAAACCUUCAACCCAUAAUAUAACACCCAAACUCUAACAAAAACAGUAACAUGAUUGAGAUUGAAAGCUUAUUACGGCUGUAAUCCGGAAGCGCGUCUCCUUCGAAUUCAUUUCGCGGUCUCCAUUCAUCAUCUGCCAUCAUGAGUUACGGGUCUCAAUCCUCAAUCUCCUUUUCAAUCUUCAAUCUUCGUUUUGGGUAUUUCUAUGAAGCUCUUAGAGAAUGAGUUUCUUUUUGUUUUGUCUUUUGGACAAAGAUAUCGGGUUCUAAAUCUAAAAUGGGGAACUGUGCCUGUGUUAGGGUUAACUGAGAGGGAAAAGAACUGUGUUUUGAGAUUAAGCGGGGGAAAAAAAAUCUAUUCGGGGUCAGUCUUGUAAUUUCAACCCUCAACGUUCGGAUUUAACGGGCCAGUUGGACGGAACAUGAGAGAUGGGAGACGGAAGACUAAAAUUGGAGAGAUUGGGUGGUAAAAAUUCAAAAUUAAGAGUACGGGGGGUGAAAUGACAUCGACAUCAAACUUCAGGCGGGUAAACUGAAAUUAAUUCUUUAAAUUAUUCAUUUCUAAGCAUCAUGUUCAUUUCUAAGUAUCAUGUUCAUUUCUAGUCAAUAUGAAUAUAAGUAGGCAAAAAUCAUUCCGGGACAAUGACACUAAAGUGCUAAACAUGAUAAUUGGAAAGCAUUUUGAAUUCAUUCAAAAGUACACGUCUCUCUUACUCAAGCAACAAAAUGGUUCCUCAUACAAGGAGGAUAAAUUUCCCAUGAAGACAGAAUGGGUCAGCGAUGGAACAAAAAAUCAAAUUUUUCAAUGUUGUGAAAUAAGCAUGUUUUUAGAUUAGAAGAUGUGACUUUUUUUUAAGCGAUAUUUUGUGCCACAUAUGGUUGUGUUGGUAAGAGUCUCAAGGUGUGAAACGACUACAUAUGGCAUAAUAAUGGCACAACCACGAAACAUCUAAUUAGACCUAACCAAAAACACAAACUUGAUUAAUAAAACAAAUGUUUCUUAUGGCAAUACGCUUCCAAUUUCCUCGAUGUCAAACCCCAAAAAUGUGGCUAGGCCACCCAAAAUGUGAUUAGUGCAAGAAAUUUAUACGUGAUUCAAACUAUAUGGAAAUGAAAAGGAGCUUGGCAACAUGAGGCGUGGUGUGAGAGCUAGAAAUGCAUCGCGGUGAGAGAAUUUUGGGCUUUUUGGGUUUAGGUUUCUAGGUUUGAAAGAAAAUGUUUGGGAGGAUGACUGAGAAUGAGUUUUGGUGUUUGAAGGCUUAAGGGUUGUUUUCUAAGCUUGCAUGGUUUUUUUCGCCAUGUCCUGGUUCUAGUGCUAGGUGUCCAUUGUAUAGAUUCAAUUGGAAGGUGUUAUGGUGGCUCAGAAGAACAUUUGGGUUUCUGGUAAAGCGUUUCUUCAUCACCUCGUACAUGAUAUCCGCCCUAAACUUAGAGAUAAGAAAGCUACCUUCCCUGAGAUAUUGGAUUUUGGGGGAAGAAGGUCUUUAGCCAUCGUACAUGAUUGCAGCUUGACAGUUGCAAUGACACAAAACAAGAAACGAGGUGAGCGAGGAAGGAUCGAGAUACAUGAACUAAUUAUUUGAGGGAGAGGAUGUUUCUUGACUGGUCUCAUGGCUUUUCUUAGCAGAAUAAGACCGUCGUUAUAAGGGAUUGUGGUUCAGACUUCAGAUUAUGUAUAUGACUAAUGUAGGGAGGAAGAAACUCUUUGGAAAUGAGAAGGAAUGAUUGUGUAAGGAGAUGAUGUGUUAAUAUUCUAAUACAUUAACUUUUAUUACUACUUUAAAUACACAUUUUAUUGUUGAGUGCGGCUAUUGGAACCUUCAAAUUUGUUUAUUUCACCUCACACUAUUUUGAAUUAUUAAAUGACAUAUAUAUCUUCUUACAUAAUGACUAUUAAAGACAAAAAUUAUACAAAAAGAAAUAUAAUAAGAAAUUUGCAUAAUGACUAUUAAAAAAAUUGCUCACUUCACCUCACUUUAUUUUGAAUUAUUAAAUGACAUAUAUAUCCUUUUACAUAAUGACUAUUAAGGACAAGAAUUAUACAAAAAGAAAUAUAAUAGUUAUCUCUCUAGACUUUCCAAUUCAAUAAUACAUGAUCCAUUUCAUUAUUUUUCUUAUUAAUUUUCAUUUUCUAAUUUUACUACAUACUUAUUUAGCAUUUAUAUAUAUUUAAUAAAAACUUAAACUAUGAGUAAUACCAUCAUGUGACAGAAAAAUUUAUGUUAUCAUACAUAUUGCACACAUAUGUAAGGUGAAAAAAUAUUUUUACAAAAAGCAUGAUCUACUUAUUAUUAAUAAAAUUAAAUAAGUAUUAAAAUAAUUUAUCAUGAUGUAUAAACGUAGAAAAAUUAUAAAUGUAGAAAAAUAGUAUAUGUAAAAUAGAAACACAAAAGUUAAUAAAAAUAUAUAAUAGUUCAUGUGAUGAUCGAUAGAAAUUACUUUUUAGACACAAUACCUUGUUUACUUUUAUUUUUAAGAUAAAAAUACUUUUCAUGAUUCGAAUUAAUUUUUCUCUGAAAUUAAUGUCAUUGAGAGUUCAUUCUUACAAUUUGAUCAAAAAAUGAAGAUAUAGUGACAUUUUAUGCAAAAAAAAUUAAAAAUUAAAAAAAAAUCAAGAAAUGGAAUGGAAGUUUGAUGGCUCGUCUCUUCCUCUCCCUCUUUCUUGCCCUAGCAAUCAAUUUUGUAAACAACGGGGAGAUUGGGGAUGGUGGAGGCGCUGAUCUUGGUGAGGACAGUCAUGACUAGCUUCAUGCAUCCGAAGGGCCGCGGUUGCUCCCCUUUUGCUUUCCUUCUUCUCUGGCCACGGAGGCGAGAAUGGUAGUUUCUUUGUUUUCUGGUACGUUUGACGGUAGCCUUGGGCUUCUACUUUGGAGGCUUUUGGUGACAGUGAUGUGCAUAAGGUGGGGUUGAUUUUGAAGAAGUCGAUCACGACUUAAUAUAUUAAGGUAAAAAAACAAAAGCCAAAAGCAACCAUUACAUAUUCUAUCGCUACUAUUUACAGAUAGUCAAGUAGUUGUGAGUCAAGACUCACACUAGUAUAUAGGAUAGACCACUCAUUAAUCGUAUUCACUCAUUUAUUCUAUAAGCAUACUUCUAUGGAUCAAAGCAUAGAAAAAUAAGCUAAUGCUUGAAAUAACAUAACUUAAAAGAGCCCCAGUAGGGCCAAACCCAAUAUGCUAAGGCAUAACAAAACACUAGCAAAAUUGAUGCCAGUAGCAUAGUUGUCGCUAUCAUCGUUGACUGCAACAUCAAAGUUGUCACCGCUAACGCCGUUGCCUCUCUCGUCGCCAUUGCAAGCUUUGUCGUUGUCGUCGUCGUCGUCGUUGACCCAAGCAUCACUGCAACCAUCCAAAGUUCCAUAGUUACUUUCACACGCCAUGGAUUUAUACCAACAACACCAAUCCAACCUGAUGAUGCAUUGACUUUACACCUAGGAGAGAACCCAUAUAAGAAUAAACCAUAUAUGUCUCCGCUAGAGAAAGGAGAAGCCUUCCGUAUACAUGUUGCAAAGAGAUGAGAGACAACAAAGAUUGAUCUCCUUGGUGAUGGCCAUGCAUGGAUAGAUUGUUGCACGGAGACAGCGAGAGGCAAAGGGUGAUGAUCUGCAUGGUGAUGGUGAUUUGCACCAUUGAUAGAGACCCAAGUCAUGACGACUAGGGUUUGGUAUAGAGGAAUAGAGGAAGAGAGCCAUAGGUGACUCCACAAGUUUAUUCAUAUUAAGUUCGGAAAUAGAUGUUCGCAUGAAAAAAGAAAGAAAAAAAAAAGAAUUGAAGGUCUAGUAAGCGAAUAAGAGGUGUAAUGAGUAAUAUAUUGAAAUAUAAAUUAAUUCCAUAAACAAGACUAUUUUAGGAAUUUAAAAGUAUGUUGAGUGAGCAAAUGCUUGUAUUUAAAAAUAAAAUGGUGUAGAGAGAAUGAGAGAUACAUUAAGCAAAUUUUGAGUUCCCAAUAGCCGCAUUCUUUAUUGCUUGAGGACUAAUGUGGUAACUAUUACUACUUUAAAGGCUCAUAUUACCACUUUAAGGGCAAAUAUUAUCAUUUUGAAGACUUACUAGUUUGAGAACUCCUUUAAGAACUCAUGUGAUAACUAACAAUAUUUACAAUUUUUAAGACUCGUAUUACCAUUUUGAAGACUACUAUUACUACUUUGAGGACUUAUUUAUAACUUUAAGAUAAAGUCGAUGCAUGUCAUGCAUUAACACAGUGUAGAAUUUUCUAAUAGAAUAUUGGGUUUGUGUUUAGUUAGCCUUUGGAUUUAAAAAAGAAAAGGUUAGGUCAAACCCAUAUUCUCAUGAUCACCAUUUCAUUGUCAAUCUAAGUCAUUGGGUUUGGAUUUCGAGUCAAAAACAGAAUUCACCUAUUGAUGUUAAAUCUACAAACGAGUAUUAUGCGUUUUUGUAACCUGCCACAACACACGUCCUUCUACAAGCCUAAAAAAUGCAUGGAUGUGGUUGGUGCCCACAUCUAAAGCAUGUUUGUUUAGCGCAGCAAUGUCGAUGUGUAUGAAUAUAAUCUUCUACAAAGCUAUAUUAUUUUAUUCAAUGAACUGUGUGCUUAUGCUUGUCUUUGUUGUAAGAACAACUAAUUAAUAUGCGUGAUUUUUUGGGUAUAACAGAUUUUUAUAAAUGUUAUGUUUAAUUCAUCAAUAAAGUAUCUAACAUUAUCGUUUCUUAGCGAGUACUUUAAUGAUUAAUGUUCGUUCAUACUUAGUGAAAAAUGCUUCAAUUAGCGUGGAGCAAACAUGAAAAAUGAAACCUAGGUUUCGCUUUAGGGCGGCAAGCUGUGUGCACUACCAACCAAUUUGAGGCAGAUUUACAAUGGUGGUGGGUCAGGGAGGCGAUAGCCUUUCAAAUAUCGACGCUGAGAUCUCGAUCAAGUCGUCUUCAAUGCUCCAUCAACGAGGUUUUGUCGAUCGAGUUUGAAUCAAGUCUGGCUAGCUUUGGCAAAAGUUUGGUAGGCGUUUGGAGGUUAGGUAGGGCUCCCAAGUGAUGACGGCAACAUGGUAGGGCUUGCAACUGAGUCAGAUCUUGUGACUCAAGCGGGGAAGAAGUAUUGGUCGCCGAAGACGGUGCGAUUUGUUGUUUCAGGCGUGUCAGGAAUUCUUGCCGGUGCGUUUUCGAUCCUAGGCCUCAAGUGACUUAGGCGAAUGAUGGUGCUCCAUCUAGGGGCGGACAAGCGACUUUUGUUGAUCGAAACCCGAAUUGGGAAGCGAUUUGGCUUGCACCGGUUAACUUGGGCUCUUACUGUUCAGGGCUCAUGGCAAAAGUGGUGGAUGUUUCUGGUUUAGUUGAUGCAUCGCGACAGAAGAUGACGUUUCUAGGUAGUAGGAUUGCAAAUCGCCCGCCGGAGAUGAAGGUGGAUCGACAAUCCGGUUGCUGGCUGGAAAAAUAUGCUGAGAUGCAUAUGCAAUCUGCAAGGUUUGGGGCUGGAUCCAGGUUCUUGGACCUAGGUAUGGGCUCAUAGUUAUGGCCUGUUUGAAAGAAGAUGGGCCUCCAAGCAAAUCUCAAAGGUGACAAGAGAGAAUUUCUUGUGUGUGCUCUGCCCUAACACUCCCUAAAACCCUAACAGAAAGGGCAAAAACAAAAUUCAGUAUAUGUUAGUGCAUGAUAGCUUGACAGACUAUGCGAACUAGAUGCAGCGAGAUGAUCUCAUAGAACUUGGAGUACCGCAAUUGAGCGUUUUGACUCUGGUUUUAUGUUUCUCUAGUAUCUUUUGUGUGACUAGUUUUAUCCUCUAUUAAGCUCAAAUCUCAAAGGUGACAAGAGAGAAUUUCUUGUGUGUGCUCUGCCCUAACACUCCCCAAAACCCUAACAGAAAGGGCAAAAACAAAAUUCAGUAUAUGUUAGUGCAUGAUAGCUUGACAGACUGUGCGAACUAAAUGCAGCGAGAUGAUCUCAUAGAACUUGGAGUAUCGCAAUUGAGCGCUUUGACUCUGGUUUUAUGUUUCUCUAGUAUCUUUUGUGUGACUAGUUUUAUCCUCUAUUAAGCUCACAAUAAGUGAGUUAAAUAUCUAAUAUAAUGCACUAUCGUGAUCCUUGUAGUCAUUGUAACCUCGUCAUUUUGGUUUUCGAUUAUAUAAAUAAUUUAUUAUUUUCAAAAAAAAUAAUAAUGUUCGUCCAUAUAGUGUUCAUUUUCUUUUAAUUUAACAAAAAUACUCAAAGUAUAAUAGUAACCGGCUAAUUUUGAAACAUUACCCCCUCUAUUCCUCUAAUAGAGCGACUAUUGUCAAAGGCGUGGUCACGUAGCAAGAAAAACAAAAUUUAAAUUCUAACUUAACAUUAUGUCCUUUUUGACUGAAAACUUUAGUAUAGUAAUUGUAGUUGUUUUAACUUACAUUAGAUUACAUUCUUGGUUUAUUUGGUAAUUAACAAACCCCAAACAAACAAACAACCUUUUGUAAGCGAUUUGUUUACACCCAAAUUAAUAUUUUACUGGACAGUAAUUGUCUAUGUGAAUAUUAGUUAAAUUCAUGGUCCACACCGGUGAGCCCGAAAUAUUAGGUUUACAAGUGAUGGCCCGCCAACGAAAUCAGGCGAGCUGGGUAGCAGAGUUCACAUGCGAAAAGACUUUGCAUGGGAUCAAGAAGUGGACUAACUUCGUGUAGAAGAUUGAGCGAGACGAGAUGCCUUCGCGCGGGAGACUUCGCCAUGAAACAAGAAGAGAAUUCGCAUGCAAAAAGGGGACUAGAUGAGGCGAGCUCCGUAUGGUUGUUUGAUUGGAUAAGGAAGCAAUUAUAUUUAAUUGCAUAAAAGGCUAUAUGCAUGUGUGCGGCUCGCCAGGAGAAGAGUUUGCGUGUAUUAAGGUUGUUAUUCUUUAAUCACAUGUAUGCAAGUGUAUGUGCUCCCUAUGUGUGGCGAAGAAAGAUGCUUGCAUGCGAAGAGCUACAGACUUCGCAUAGGAGGCGAGAUACAUGCGAAGAGAAGAGUUCGCAUAGAGAUAGGACUGAAACACGUGGGCUGUGCAAGUAUGCUUGGAUAAUUAUCCUUAGUUACAUGAUAUGCAUGCGAGAUAUGGUUCAUUAAGGAUCCUUAUUCUUAGUCAAGUAUGAUUGCAUGGGGAAGCUUACGUCCACGACCGCGAAGGUGUUGUAGAGAGCAACCACUGUUCCUACAUCACGUUUAUGUUCAAGAGUUGGUGUUUCUAAGGCAUUUGCUGCCUUUGGAAUCAUAAUUAAUCACGUCACUUACGAACUCAACGUUGAAGACUUCUACAAGUCUUUGACAUGUUUUGGGUCAAUACAUGUGGCCAUAAAUAGCUCUAUAUAAAAAAGGUCGAGGAUACUCUCUAGACAACACUCAACAACUCAACAAUUACAAAAUACUAUACAAUUCUCGACAUAGUCGAACCUCCAGACGCUCCUUGGAGCUUUGCUUUCAUUUCCCUAUACGCUCCCCGGAGCUUUGUCCUUUUCCCUCUCCUUUCCAAUUUGAAGCUCUGCUUGAUCUCACGUCGAGUAUUGAUAUUGUGACGCUCAGGCAGACUACUGUAAGUCCUUCCCCAGUACGCCAGGCAAAUCUGAAGAACCCUGCGGUGGAGUUGGUGCUCUCUCCAUCCUCAGUCGCUUGAUUAGAAGCAGAAGGCUCAGCGCACCCCGCUACUACAACCACUACAUUCCGCGUCCGCGCGGUGGCACGCCCGCGACAACUAAAAGACACUUUGCACACCCAUAAUUACUGGUGUGGCCAAAACACUAUUUGUUGGUUUACAAGCAGUUUGACAUUAUUUUCAGAUCAUGUUGCCAACAAAUAUAAAAUCGGUGGAGAUAGAUGUGUAUUAAAAUGAAAAAUAACGAUCGAGAAGCUGCAAACAGAUUGUAAGAGAGCAGUUGCGGUUUUGAGGAGUUGACUUGAAGCUAGAUAUUAAUAAGGGAAUUAAUAAUGCGUGACAUGACAUAAUAAAUCGUCUUAAUUUUUCCAAGUGGGACUAAGUCUUUGGAUGACUUUGGUAUAAGAACCAUAAAUGAAAAUGAGCGACUGUCACGCUAAGGGAUUCUUGGCCAUGGAGUACCGUAUUUUUAGUAGUACAAGUUGCUAUACCUACGUAUGCAUCAUUGUAUUUAAUUAUAUGAAUGAAUAUUCCAUUCUAGAUUAGGAAAUUCUUGUAUAUAUAUUUUAUGGAAUUCCUUCUUUUUAAAAAAUAAAAAUAAAAAAAUUAAUGGGAUUCCUUCUUAAGAUGAGAAAAAAAAUUCAAUCUGUGAACUUCCUUAAAUAUAAAAGACACACUUGAUUCUUUCAAAAAAAAAAAGAACACACUGGAUAAAGCAAAGAAUACGACAGCAAUGACGAUCUUUAAGCUCUUGUUUUUUCUCUCUUUUACCUUAAACAUAUAAAGCGCUUAUAUGAUGAAUCUAACUAUGAAGAGUUUGGUUUCUUCAUAAAAGAAAAAAAAGACCAAAAAGACUUUGGAACCCGACGAAUGUUUUCUUUUUCUAAGUGUUUUUUUUUACCCAAAUUAAUUAAAUACAAAUUUACGUUAUCACUUUAGUCUCUGCGUUAUCCUCCUAAGUAUAAGCUCAUAAAAUGGUAAUUAAGUUGAGAAGUGACAACUAACUACAUCCGGACAACAAUAAUAAUAUAAUUCUUGAUGAAAGUUUAGGCUUAUUUUUGCUACCUUUUGAACCUACAACUUAGUUUCAUACAGAAAUGUGACAGGUAAUAAGAUAUAUUCUUAAAAAGAAGUAUAACGAAACAACGUCUCCAUAAAGAUUCUAUAUUUUCUUGGUUAAGAUUCUAUUUUUCGUACCAAAAAUAUUAGAAGCACAUCAUCAUAUAGUGGUAUUACAGCAGCACAUGGAUUGAUCAAUAUUAUUAGGUCUAAUAAUACGUAUAUACAUUACUUAAGUAUACACUAUACAGUAUACACGUUAUAUAUUGUAUUGAAAGAGAUGCAUGUCCAGAACUAAUUAGAAUAUUGUCCUCUGAACCCUGAUUCAUCUCCUCUGUACGGAAUCAGGAUUGAACUGUCAAUAUAUUAAUUGACAACUCAAUCUUGAUUAUUAAACGUUAAUACAUCAUCUUAAUAAACAAAAACCAAAUCCAGCCUAAUAAUCCAUAGUUAGACGAUUAAUUUGGUACUAAUUAAUACAGCAACACCAUGUCCUCGCUUAAUUAGUUGACUGUUGCUAAACCCUAAUUAAUUAACUUAUUCUUCACAUAAACAAUACCUAAUAAGCUCGUAUGUUAAUGAGUGAAUCAUUGUUUACUGUAUCCAACAAUGUCCCUAAAAAUGAUGAGUUUUCUGAUUGUGGUUUAUAUUAUUGGUGAUGCUGAUGCACUUGAAUAUUUAGCAAACAAAUUUAAACUAUUGUUGUGAACAUACAGAAUUCAAAAUCAUAAAAAAAAAAAAAUGAAAAAUUAUUACUCGUCACCAGAAGAGCAAAUCUGACCAGCUUGAUUACAGUUUCAAGGGCCAGACUCCGGACAUCGAUCACAUGCAUUUGAUUUGCAUUAAGAAAAACUGUUUACGAUGCAUUUUAGAAGUAUUUCACAUUUUUGGACUUUUUGAAAAAGAUCUCGAUCAGUCGCGGUUUCACUACUAUAGUUUUAGUAAUAGAUAUAUAUUCUUGUUAUUAUUUAAGAUAUUUUCUCAACGAUGAUCAUCGUAAUAUAUAGUAAUAUAUACUUUAGGAUCUUGACUCAUGGUUAAACUUAUCUUGAUUUCUAUUUCAUUGUAAUCAUCUCGACAGUAAUCUUCUCCGAUAUGAUUCUCUACCUGAAUAUAUAUACUGAGUUUGAACUUUCUAGAGUACUCGCAGUAAAACCUGCUUAAUUUCGAUCUCAUAAUCAACCUCUUGUGACAAUACGGAAACAGAUGGGAAAUAGUGUAGAAUCGAACCAAGACCACACCCUGCACGGUGUAUGCUAAGAACUAAGAACGUGACAAAUCUGGACGUACUAGAAUCUCUCCGUAUAUGGAUCACUCGUACAAGCUAUUAGAUAAGAUUUCAAGUGCAACUUCAACUCAGAACCACAUAAUUUCAAUUCUCUCUGUUAAAAUAAGUUAAAACCCUAGAUCGAGUUGUAUCUAUUCCAAGACAAGAUCCGUGAAAACGAAGCUUUUCUAUGCUUUCAUCACAUUAAUGAAAUGAUUCGCUUCCAUAUGUAAUAUAUAUACUUGAUGAUAUGGACUAAUUAACAAAGCAAACCAUGCAUGAAUAUUGAUGUGCAACAUAAAUAUUUGAAUCUCAGUUCCAGAAAAGCAAUGGUAUUAAUAGUAUUGUUGUGAACAAGUUCCUGCAGCAUGUGAAAUGCGCGCAAGUAUCCAUCAAAUCUUGAAGAAAAGUAUGUGCCCAAGUGCCCCAACACUAAUUCCCAAUGGGAAACUAUAUGAAUGAAGUAUAAAAUUUCAUUCAUUUUCAAGCUGUUUGCAUAUAUUAUUGACCAAAAUUUUCUUGAUUGAUAUUGAUAUUUUUGACUUUUUUUUUUUAAUGUAUAAACUAUCAAAGAAAUCAACUAUUAUACUCUUUCGUUUCCAUUAUGAAAAUCUAGGAAUAUAUCUUUGAUUUUUCUAGCCAGCAGAUGAAAUUGUAUUUGUUUUGAAUUACUAUAGUACUUGUAUGAUCGAUCUUCAGUACAGAGAAUUGAUAAUAUUUAGAUCAAUACAUCAGUAGAUGAGUUCGAUGUAAGAAAUCAAAUGUAUCAAAUUAUUCUAAAACCGUAAAACUCACCAAGUAUUGCUCUCCUUGCAAAUUUACUGGAGCUCGUGAAAUUAAAGUGUGUGAUUCCUACAAUUUAGAUCUCCAGCUGAGAUGUCUGAACUAUUAUAAUUCGAUCAACAAUGUAACAAAACCAUGGGAGAGAACUCAAAAACCAGAAAAGAGACGGAAUACGUAUGCAAUACCGUAGCAAAGAAUAUUCAAUGCUACUCCAUGGAGGAAAAGGAGAAGAAGAUCCCAGGGCCCCACUCCCCUCUUUCUUUCUCCUAUAUAUAAGGAAUGCAGAGUUGGCUUCAUUUCAACUGCAGCUGGAGUAGUACUUCUCCUUCUUCUUCUUCUUCUUCUCUCUCUAGCUAUCUCAGAGUCUGACUGUCUGAGUCUCCAAUGGCGGCGUCUUGCUCGGCUUCCCAGCUGGCCCAGCUCCUCGGCCCAAACGGCACCGCCGCCGCCACCUUCAUCUGCGACCAGUUCUCCGCGGUCGACUCCAAGUUCAUCGACACCUCCUACGCCGUGGACACCACCUACCUCCUCUUCUCCGCCUACCUCGUCUUCUCCAUGCAGCUCGGCUUCGCCAUGCUCUGCGCCGGCUCCGUCCGCGCCAAGAACACCAUGAACAUCAUGCUCACCAACGUCCUAGACGCCGCCGCCGGCGGCCUCUUCUACUACCUCUUCGGCUUCGCCUUCGCCUUCGGCGGCCCUCCAACGGCUUCAUCGGCCGCCACUUCUUCGGCCUCAAGGAAGUCCCCAACAUCUCCUUCGACUACAGCCACUUCCUCUACCAGUGGGCCUUCGCCAUCGCCGCCGCCGGCAUCACCUCCGGCUCCAUCGCCGAGCGAACUCAGUUCGUCGCUUACUUAAUCUACUCCUCUUUUCUCACCGGCUUCGUCUACCCCGUCGUCUCCCACUGGAUCUGGUCCCCCGACGGCUGGGCCAGCGCGUUCAACACCGGCAACCUCCUCUUCGGCUCCGGCGUCAUCGACUUCGCCGGCUCCGGCGUCGUCCACAUGGUCGGAGGAAUCGCCGGACUCUGGGGAGCCUUCAUCGAAGGUCCCAGGAUCGGCCGGUUUGACCAUUCCGGUCGCUCCGUCGCGCUCCGCGGCCACAGCGCCACCCUCGUCGUUCUCGGCACAUUCCUCCUGUGGUUCGGCUGGUACGGCUUCAACCCUGGCUCGUUUAACAAGAUCCUAGUCUCCUACGGCGGCGCCUCCUCCUACUACGGCCAGUGGUCCGCCGUCGGAAGAACCGCCGUCACCACCACCCUCGCCGGAUGCACCGCCGCGCUGACGACUCUCUUCGGGAAGCGCAUCCUCUCCGGCCACUGGAACGUCACCGACGUCUGCAACGGCCUACUCGGCGGCUUCGCCGCCAUCACCGGCGGCUGCUCCGUCGUCGAGCCAUGGGCCGCGAUCAUCUGCGGCUUCGUCGCUGCCGUCGUGUUGGUCUCGUGCAACAAGCUCGCCGAGAAGAUGAGAUACGACGACCCGUUGGAGGCGGCCCAGCUCCACGGCGGGUGCGGCGCGUGGGGGAUCAUAUUCACCGCGCUUUUUGCGAGCGAGAAGUACGUGAACGAAGUGUACCCGGGCAAACCGGGUCGGCCAUAUGGGCUUUUCAUGGGCGGCGGUGGCAGGCUGUUGGGGGCCCACGUGGUGCAGAUUCUGGUGAUAAUCGGGUGGGUCAGCGCCACCAUGGGUCCUCUGUUCUUCAUUCUCCACAAGAUGAAUCUGCUGAGGAUUUCAGCGGAGGAUGAAAUGGCGGGUAUGGAUAUGACCCGGCACGGCGGGUUUGCUUACGUCUACCAUGACGAAGACGACUCGGUUAAACCCACCGCGAUUCAACUUAGGAAAAUUGAGCCUAGUUCUUCCACACCUACUUCCGUUUAAGUUUUCUUCUACUUUUUUUUUUGGUUUUUUUUUUCUUUGAGAAAACUUUUAGAAUCGUAAUUGUUGACUAUAGCCGUCGAUCUUGUGUAAGAUAAUGGUGUAGUGAUUUUGUGGUUGGUUUGUGCAUGUUGAAGAUAAGGAACUGCUUGAGUAAUAGUUCGCCACUUUUGCUUUCUUUCCUUUCACAUUUUGUAUAGGGUUUUACGAACCGGGUCCGAUUUCUAGUCGAACUUUGGUGUGAUGUAUCAAAAAAUAUUUAAAAAUAUUAAAAUAUAGACAUGUUUAAUUGUGUAUAAUGGCAAAAUGGGUCUGAUUUCCAGCUAGUCGAACUUUAAUUUGACGUUUUAAAAUAUUAUAAUUGUUUUAAUUUUGAGCCAGCUAGUUUAUAAUCAAGUUUGAGUAUUGGUCUUUUCGAUAUCGUAUUCAUGAAUAUGGUAGUGUGUAGCAUAUUUUAUUUUAUCGUAUUUGUUUAUAUGACUAUCAAUCCUCAUGUUUUAAAAAUGAGUUGUGGAAAAUGAGCAUUAUUUACGUGGUGGCGAGUACAUUUGAUGAAUUGGUUUUUGUUUGGAUGUGUGUUGAAAUGGUUAGAAGCCAAAAGAAUGGUGGGCAAUGCAGCUGGGGUGUGAUUUUGUUUUGGAAACAAAAUGGAAAGAGACGAAGAGCAAUGAAUGAGUGUGGCCAAAGGGAGCAGGGAAUAGAUGUGUGAAUAAUAAUACACGUGAAACAUUUUGGAGUGGAUCAUUGAAUUUGACUGGGAUGGAGUAUGGACCAGCGUAAUUUGGGUGAUAUAAUAAAUAUUUGGGAACUUCUCACUAAAACGUUCGAAGUUUUCUUUUUUAAAAUAUAAUAAAUCACAACAAGACACGUCGAGCAAUAUUAAGCAAAUCUAAAUACAAUGCUAGCUUGAGAAGCUUGGAGAGGAAGAACACCAAGCUAAAUCUUCGAAGAACGGAAACUGUUGCCAAGAUUUACAAGAGCAUAUGCUAAGAAGACAAAAAGUUAGCUUCCUGGGAACACAUAGACAAAUAUGACAUUUUCAAGAAUUAUUAUUCAGUGAUAAUGUUUAGAAUACAACCAUUGAGAAAAUUUUUACGGUACUUAAGGAGUAUUGAAAUUUCAUACUCUAAAACUGUACAUCAGCUUAUUAAAGUUUUGAGCAGUGAACACAAACUUUCAUUCAUAAACAAAAGCUUACAAACAUAAAGAUCUGUUUUGGAUCAACACAGAAACUUAAAAUACAACAACCAAACCAAACAACAACCAAAUCUAUCAGGAAGCCAACCUUGAAGCAAACGCAGUGGAAGAGGGCCUCGAUCGAGUCGUCACCGCCAACGAUCGAGCCAUCGUGUGACAUAGAAACGUCACUACUACGUGACUUAGAGGCGUCACCGGAUCUGCUAACAAGGGCCGAGACAACAUGAUUCUUUAAAUAGAUGUAAUGGUGGCAUAAUGCACUCAAUCUCAUUCUUUCUAGUGUGUCUGUCAAUUUUGUUUCCUCAUGAUUCGAAGUAGUAGGUUUGUAUGACCGUCUUAAAAUUAUUAUCACAUGGUUUGAUUUCAACGUGCAUAUAUUAGCCAAUUAUUGCAAAGUUUGAGUUCUUUUAAUAGGAAAAGAAAAGGUCCCAUUAGCAAAGGGCAGGUAAAGUUGACAUCUAAACCUAAAAUUGUAGCUUAAGCUAACAUGUAAUGGCUAUUAAUGCCAAGUCUAGUUUAUAUUCGAGUAGAGAAGCUACAAGGUCAAAAAAAAACGAAUUUGAGAAACUAAGAUGAAAAACAGUCAUAAGUCGUGAACAAAUAAACCAUUUGUGAUUUGUGUAACGUGAAAUAAAAAAAUAGCGAUAAUAUUUAUUCGAGAGAUAUUCGGUGAUAAAUGAGUGGUUUGAUAAGGAAAGAAUGAUGGAGCAGCACCAAGUGUAUUGCGACUUGCGUAGGACGUACAAGCUAUAAAGAAGCACACCAUUGUGAGUUGAUGAGGGUGGUCGGUCAAGUCUUCAAGUGUGAAAGACUUUAAGCCAGAGGCAAAAUUUGCAAAGUGGUUUGGUCAACGACGACUUUGAAUGUUUACUUUUGUUUGAUGUUCACGACUUUGAAUGGUCUUCUUCUGUGAAGGACUUCGAGAGCAUCAAGGACUGCAUUCUGUACGGCGGCCUCCAUUCAUCCGUGUAUUUGUUUGUGUAUAUAUUUCUGCGUUUACUUUCAUUUGAGUAUUUUCUUAUGACAUGUUAAGAAAAAUACGUGUAUCCAACCUAGUCGUAUAUUCUUUUAUCAGUAUUAAUUAAGCCAAUUUAACUUAUGUAACCGUUUUUGAUUUAAAUUUUAAAAUCACUUUACACCAAACAUAAUUUAACAAAUUGAGUGUAGAAUGGCUUGCUUUUAUCCAAUAACAGAUUCUCUUUUUGAAAAAAUACAAAGAGAGACCACAUUUAAAGUCGUGAUAGAUAAACCAAUGGCUUGCUUUUAUCCAAUGGCUUGCUUUUAUCCAUUUAAACUACAAAUCUCUACUACUCUAAAGUCAAGUCCCUCAAAAGCUUCACUAAAUUGUGAACUUCCAUGAUUAUUCUUAAUGAACUAACUAACAUAAAUAAAAACAAGGAUUAUUAUAGUAAAAGUAAAAUAAAAAUCAAAACAAAUUAAAUAAAUAAAUAAUCAUAUGUAACCGCUCACGCUUAUCUUAAGUGAUCGUGACCGUGACCGUGACCGUGAUCGUGAUUCCGUGUAAAUAUGCAUAGGUAGAAAGCUAAUAGAUGGAUAGAUACAACCAAGUACUCUAGUAAUAGAUAAACCAAAGAUAAAAAACUCUCAUGCAGUUGGAAGCAAACCACAUUUUAAGGAGAAGAAAAAGGAGAUUUUACAUACUCACAGUCUCCCACCGAAAAUCCAUUUCCUUGCUUUUAUCCAAUAAUAGGUUCUCUCUUUGAAAAAAAAACUGCCGCUUGCACGAUCUCAAAGUUUGAGAUCACAAUGGUGGUUCUCCGACAACUAUAUAUCCCGCUAUCGAUCGCUUCAUACGAGAUAAGAGACGCAAUCAUGAAAGAGGCAACAGAGGAAAAUCAAACUUAGGUAUGAAAUUCCUAUCGAAGUAAGUCGUUGAUCAAUCGCUUUGACUGAAUAUUACCCUUGUAUAAAUAAAAGUACUUUAAUAUAAAUGAUGAUUAAACCAUUAAACGUGUGUCAAUGUCGUACAUGCUACUCAUCAAAUCUUAUUCCCAUAUUUUGAAAUUAAGUAUUUUUUACUAGGUAUUUCAUUAUACAUGCUAAACAUUAUAUUUUUGAAUUCAGCAUCGUAAAUCAUAAUACGAAAACCCAACUUCUACUCCCACCUCUCUCUGUCUCUAUCUCAGACGCAAAAUCAUGACCGACGUCCCGAUCCGGAACCUGAAUUUGGAUUUCCCGGCGAAACGCCGAGUGGAUGAAGUCGCCGUGGACGACGAGAGAAAAAGCCCCAAGCAGUCAAAGCGCCAAAGGGAAGAAUUCGAUGAGCACGGUAUACAUGCAACUCUUCGUUUUUGAUUUAGGGUUUGCUUGCUUUUGAUUUUCUUAUGUGUUUGAAAGAUUAGUAAAUUAUGUUCUUAUAUUGAUGAUCUGAUUCGGAUUUCAUUAAAUAGUUGUAUUCGAUUUGAGUCUCUAUUUGUAUCUGUAUCUGUCGAAGUGUGCUUGCAAGUUAGAUAGUCAAUAUCAUAAAAUUCACAAGGGAAUUUACAUGCUUUCGUUGGUAACAAAAUUCGUAUCAAGUUUCAAAUAUGACCGGUUAAAAUGGACUUUGUUCAACCACUUAGUCUAUUAUGGUUUAGACUCUUUAGCUAUACCUAAGAUAUCAUUUCUACUUGUUGGGAAUUAGUUGCCUAAGUUUUUUUUUUCAUGUAUUUGGCUUUAGUGAGUUACAAUAAUCCUCCUCGUAUAUAUACAUUUAUCUAACUAUUUACUUGUGAUGUACCUACACAAUCUUGCCAGUUCUCAUGACCCUCUCCUUAUGACAUCGUGUUAGUAUUUGUUAACAGCUGCUGACACUAGGAACAGUACAUCUCAGGACAAGGAGCCUCCAAUGGUAGAUGAUGGAUCCUCUUUGGUGCUGCAGCAGAAUGAAGAUAAAGGUAUGCUUUUGAUGUUUGGUUGUUUAAAAUUUGUAAAAGUUUUUCUAGAUUUGCUUGACCUAUGUGUUUUGUUUAGUGGGUGUGUGGAUUACAAUUUGGGAUGUGUGGAUUUCAUAUCCCUUAAUUUAUUGAUGGUUCGUUCAGAAAAUCUCUUUUGAUACUGGAAAUGCUAGUUGGACAGAAAGGAAACAACCUGCUGUUUUUCUCCAAUACAAGUUUGUUUGUGCAGUACAAUAUCAUAGUUGAUUUGAUUUGAAUGUAGUUUUAAGAAUUAUGUUUUAAGGUUAGAUAUCUAGAGGCCAUUUUUUUUUUUUAUUUCAGGCUCUCUGUUUUUUUUUUGUUACACAUAUCAGUAGGUGGCAUGAUUUUUCUAUUCUAUUGCUCUUGGGAAAUAUAUUUAGAAUUUGACUUCUCUACUUAGAUUUAUGUUGCUUGGAUAAUUUUUAACCAUUGCAUUGAGUACAAUCUAUGACCACCAUGUCAUCCUUACUUCAUCUAAUGGUUAGAAGACAUCUAAGAAAAUCCAAACAAUUUAAAUCCAAACAUAAAAUCUGGAUCCAUAUAUUUCUGGGCCCUAACAUGUGUUUGUUUUGCUUCUAUUUAACAAACAUUCAGUUUUCUAUUUAACAAACAUUCACUUUAAUGGUUAGAAAACAUCCAAGCAAAUCCAAGCAUAAAAUUUGGAUCCAUAUAUUUUUGGGCCCUAACAUGUGUUUGUUUUGUUUCUGUUUAACAAACAUUCAGGUAGUAAUGCCAAAAACAAUAGUGGUGUAAAGGAAGUUACUGCUCCAGAAGAAGAAGAAGAAUAUGAUUCACCAGUUGAAGAUUUUAAUGUUGUAAUUUAUAAAGGUGAGGGUUAUGGAUAUUGUGUUCGAUGUUGUAACACCCUGGAAUUUUAGAUUUUAGUUUCUGUUUUUUUUUAUUCGGUUGACUUUAAGGUUUUUUGACUUUUUAGAGGCUAAAAGUUGACUUUAUUUUUCGUAAGUUAUCUUUGAAAAGUUCCUUCACGGAAGUUGUAGAGUUUGUCAAUACGAGUUCGUAGACAUACGGCACGCCUAAAACAGAUGUCGUAUGAAGAAGUUAUGUUCAGAGGAAAUUUAUUUCCGGGUUUGAAAAGAGUAUAAGUAGAAAAAUGUGUGUGGGAUGUUUUUGGGAACCCUAAAAAUAAGUCAGCCUCUUUUUUUUUUUCUCUCCUCUCUCUUUUCUCUCUUCUCUCUCUCCUCCCCCUUCCUCUCCUGAGCUCUCCUGAGAGCAUAAUUUCCGCUGGAGCUAGCUCCGCCGUCCGGCCACCAAUCGAACCGCCGCCGGUCCCGUUCAACUCCCACAGGUGCCCUCUUCAAGGCUGGGCAGCUGCUGCUCGGUGUGGGACGCCGGAAACAGCGCUUUCGGCCGGAAAAGGGGGCUGCUGUGCAACCGGUCGGAACCGCUGUAUACGGCGGCGACGAGGGGCAUCCUUAAGUAAGUUUUGAUCCUCUCCUCCUCCUAGUAGUGUCUAGACAUAGAUUGAAGCAAGUUUUUGAGGUUUUGAGGCCGGUUUUGCAGGUUUUGUAGUUGAAAUUUCUGGUCACGGUUUGGGGCAGUUUUCGGCCGGUUCCGGCCAAAAUUGGUCGAAGUCUCAGGUAUAAAAGUUGUUCCCCUUGCUUCAAGCUUCAACUUUGCUAUUGAGAGUUUUCUCAAAUUCGGAACUUGUGGAGGCGCGUGGGGCCCACUCGCCGUCGCCUGUGGCGGCGUGUGGCAGCGCGUCCGGCAGGGGAUUUGGCUUAGGCUGCUGUGUUUUAGCUAGCUCUUGUUGUGGUGAGCUUGUGGAGAUGUAGAUUUUCUAGGUUGUAAGAAUUGUUUGUAUGUUAGGACUUUAAGUUUGUUAGUAGACUUGGUGGAGGUUUGAGUUAGGAUUUGAGGAUUAGAGGCAGCCAUUUUGGGUCUCUAAGUUCGACGACUUUGGAAAAUUGUCCUCCCUUGAACUAAGGGUUAGUUGAGGGUAUUGUGAAAACUUAUGGUAUUUUAGUUACUAUGGUUUUUGAUUGUGUGUUUUUAGGUGAUUUGUGAAGUGGUGUUUUUGGCUUGCUCUUGUUGUUGUGAAAAUUGCAGCGGGCUUAUUAGGUGAGUAGAAUCUCACCAAGGUCCACUUGUGACCUUUUUAUUUUGGAUGUUGGUUUUGAUAUUAAUUAUGAUUGUGAUUUUGAAUGAUGAGGAUGAUGAUGGUGAUAAUUAUUGUGUUGUUGAUAAUGAUUAUUAUGAUGUUGAUAGCGAUGAUGAUAAGGUUUUUGUUGAUAAAAUGAUGAUGAUUAUUGUUGAUGAUUUUAAUUUAAAAUAUUUUAUUUCUUUUGGUUGUUUUAAAAUAAAUGAGCUUGAUCGUCAACGGCUCAUAGGUAAGAUAAAACAAGUUUUCCAAGUAUAUGAUUAUUUUUAAGGUUCAUAAAAUUAUAGUAUUUUUGGUUGUUGAUAAGUUAUUCUUGUGGGAAUAACCAUGUCUUGUGCAUAUAAAUAUAUCUAUAUGGAAUGAUAUAAUUUUUAUGAUGUGCGUUUUGUGUUGUUGAUGAUGUUGAAUUAAAGAAUAUGCUAUUGUUUGUUUUUAAAAAUAAAUGAGCUUGAUCACCAACGGCUCAUAAGUGAGAUAAAACAAGUAGAUAGUCAAACUGGGGUCCAAGCCCUUAAUUGGGUGAUUGGUUGCGGUUAUGAUGAUUCUACUCUUUUUGAGAAUUGUUGUGUACAUAGUCAAACUGGGUUCCAAGCCUUUAGUCGGGUGAUUGGUUACGGUUAUGACGCUAUUAUUAUUUUGUGAUGUGAUGUUGGACAGUCAAACUGGGUUUCAAGCCUUUGGCCGGGUGAUUGGUUACGGUUAGGAAUAGAGCUCUAGUCCGUCUGUCGGUGUAGGUCAUGAGAGAUACCUUAUGGUAUCUGGGACCCAUGGGUGCACAAAUUGUUGUUGUAGGUCAUGAGAGGUAUUUUUUAAUAUAUAGGACUCAUGGGUACAUCUUAUUUGUGAAAGUGUUGAAAAUGUGGUUUUAACUUUGUUCUUAAUUGUUGUCAUUUAACUUGUUUUAAGUAUCUUCUGAACUAUGCUUAAUGCAGGAGAUUCUUCAAUUCUUAUUGUGUGAAUUUUGAGUGGAAUUUCCUGAACUAUCUUUAUUUGCAGGAUUCUCUUAUGAUUGAUUGUUUUGUGAAUUGUUAUGUUUUCUCAAUUUCUCUCUUUGAAUUUUAUUGUUGAGGCAAUUCCUGAACUAAGUGCUAAGCAGGAAUUUUCGGUUUUAUUUUGUGUGAUGUUGGGUUGAAAUUUUUUUUGAGAGUUACUCAUACGGGCUUUUUAGCUUACCGAGUUUUUGUUUACAACCCGGUGCACCUAUUUUUGGUGUAGGGGUUAGACCUGUAAGUGAUAAUCAGCAAGGUUGAGGCGGUGGCUUAGGAGUUGGGUUUUAGACAAUGUGCUUUUUUUGUAUAUUUUGUUAAUUUGUCUAUAAGCUCAUGUGAGCGACGUUAUUAUUACUCGACUUUUGAAGUUGAUGUAAUUAAGGAGAUAUAAUGUUUAACUCAGUUGUUGAGUUUGUUGACAUUUACAUUUAUAGUAUUUGUUUUUAGUUUGUUAGUUGUUGAGCAGAUUUUGGGAUAUUAAGAUUUUAAGUUAUAUCAUGCUCAAAUUUUUAAAAAUUUAUCCUUCGAAAAUUGGGGUGUGACAAAUGGUUGACAAUAAAGUCUGCAAAUGUUGUGGUAACCUAAAUAGCAGCCCUGUGCGUAGGGAAUAAUGUUAUUUUUCAUUUAUUUUUAUUAUGCAUUUAUGACCGUUAAAAGUGUGUCAGUGUCGUACAUCUUACCCAUUAAAUCUUAUUCCCAUAUUUUAGAAUGGGAGCUGAAAUUGACACUCCCAUUUUUGCAAACCACACUCCCUUUUAAUUGUUUAUUAUUAUUUUGUUUAGUACUCUUACUUCUCUUCCAGAACUACCCUCAGUGGGGCGUCUUCCCCUCGCACCAAAAUUUACAGAGCUCAUAAUCUAUUUAUGAGCCUCACAACAGAGGGACUGCUGCCGAACCUGCCAGAACCCGAUCUGAUCCCGGCCACUGAGAAGCUGCUGAUACUCCAAUGGAAAUGCAGAUCGAUAGUGAGUGGGAACACACUUUAAUUGAUGAUUUUGAUGAAAACCUCUGCUAUAGUAUCAUUUGUCAUGCAAAGGGAUGAUUCCUAUAGACUUGAAAAAUGCUGAAAAUAGAACAAGAUAUGAUGAUUCAAUUUGCCAAGAAUCCUUUCGGCUCCAACCGUGUAAAAGGGACGAUUUUCUCUUACAAAUUGAUAGGUUUGAAAUGGAAAUUUGAUUUGAAAUUUAGAGAAGAAGAUGGUCAUAGGGAAUCACUUUAUGGAAAUUGGAAUUUGAAAAUUUUGAAUCGGUCACACACGCUAGAAAAUCAAAUAAGAUUAGCUUGGUUUUUAUGGGUGAUUGAUGGGAAAGUGAUGAAGUUAUUUAGGGUAGAACAAAUUGAGUUGAAGUGAAUACCAUAGAUGGUAAAGAAGAAAUGGAAUCAGUGAGGAAAUUGGAUUCAACUGCUCUGCAACUUAGAUUCUCUCUAUUUGAGAAACCCAACAUCAUGAAACAAGCAGAGUUUGAUAGCUCCCGUCUUCACCCAAACAAUAUCUACCAUCUUCCUUCAUACAAAAUUUCAUCAUGUGACCCUUAUCUGGUUUAUUCAGUGAGAAGAAGAAAUGUGAGAGAAGUAGACAAAUCAAAACAAAGUAACAAACGCAGGAAAGGAGAGGAGGAGAGAGUAUCUAUUUCACGUGGAAGAGAGAGUAGGAAAGUUAAGGGGUGAUUUGGUAAAAGCAGCACAAAGGGAGUGUGGUUUGCAAAAGCGGGAGUGCAAACUUCAGCUCCCUUUAGAAUUUAAGUAUUCUUUACUAGGCAUUUCAUUAUACGUGCUAAACAUUACAUUUAUGAAUUCAGCUUCGUAAAUCAUAUUACGAAAACCCAGGUGAUCCUAUCAUCUCAUCUCAUGUAAUACUCGUUAUGGCAAUGACAGUCAACUAUAUAUAAAUUCUUAGGUGCGGUUGUAGGUGAGGGAUACGGUGAGGGUUACCGUGAGGGAUUGGUGGUGAAGCUUUGAGGUGGAGGAUGGGAUAGGGAAAGCCUGGGUUUUUUCGAUGGAUAGAGAGGCCUGAGUUUUGUUUGAUCGGAGAUCACCUCCGACUUCUCACCUCAGAAAAGAAAUGACACGUGUCUGUUACUCAGUGGUCGGUCGUAUGGGUGACGUGGUGCGUGUGCCGCACCUAAGAAUAAGAUAGUAUCUGAACGGAAACCAAGAGCGCUCUCCUCCCAGGCUCUCCGUUAAUGGAGGUCUUCGCUACCUCUGCAUCCUGCCCUCAUUUCCUCGUUUCAAAAUUUCACCGGAACCCUAAUUCUGCCUCCAUCAAAACCACUCCUCAGGUACUCUCUCUUUCUCUCUUUCUCUCAUUCACUUCUAUCAGCUUUCUCUCAUUGGGCAUAACCACAAUUGUGAAAGUUAGAAGAAGAAGAUUACUUGUUAAAGUUUGAAACUUCGCCUCUUUUCUGGGUCAAUUUGAGUCAAAGAUGAAGUCUUUGCAGUUGCCAAGCUAUAAUCAUAGCUAUGUUUUCAGUAUAAUACUCUAGUCUUUGUUUAACAUCUUAAUCUAGCUUACAUUACUAAUAAAAAUACUAAUUGGGUGAUUAUUUUUGAUAUUUUUUUUAUUACAUUAUUGAUUGUUCUUAUCUAAGAACGGAAAAGCAAUCCGUUUUGGUGGUUUGGUAAUGUGUCUAAUCAAAAGAGGCUUGGUGUUGAAAGAUGUUGCUGAAUAGUUAUGCAUUGUAAUAGGGGGCCGAAGAGUUUUCAUCUUUGAUUCGACUCUAUGCAGGUGUUGAAAUGGAAAUGUCUGCCACUAGGGGUUGUAGAAGCUCGAGCGAAGUGUUCCUUAAUGCGUGCAAGGACAGGUUCUGUUAAAAGAACGAUGUGUUAUGGUCGUAGUGAUGGGUCAUCUAAACAUAAUUUAUUGCUUGGACCAAUACGGAGGUUGAACCAGAGUCUUGUUUCUCAGUGUGGUUUGUUUUCUGCAAGUUAUAGUAAGCUCAAGGAAAAGCUUAAAUUGAGGAGACUUGCCGGCAGUCUCCAUAAAGUGAUAAACUGUCCUGAAAAAUUUAGACAGCGUGUCUUUGUUCGAUUUGUUGUUGGAGUGAUGGUUGUCAUGUCGGUUUCUGUUUCUGUUAGCAAGGUUCCAUCAUGUAAGUGAACUUUUUACGGCAUAUAAAUUAAUCACUAGCCGAAGCUUUGCAAGGGCAUAUAACUUAUUUGCUUUUGUUCGACUAAUGUUCAUAGGGGCUCUUACUGAAGAGAAUCUUCUGUUCUUGGAGGCUUGGAGGAUGAUUGACCGCUCUUAUGUUGAUAAAAGUUUCAAUGGACAAAGUUGGUUUCGGUACAGAGAGAAUGCACUGCGCAAUGAACCAAUGAAUAACCGAGAAGAGACAUGUAUGGAUUCCAUCAUUGUUUACUUUAUAUACAGAAUUUUGUUUGCAUGUCAGAGUCUUAGUACAUUUUAUGUAGCUUGAAUUUACGAAAUAAUCCAUGUCCUGCUUUCUGAAUAAACAACUAAAAAAAAAAUCGUUACAUAAAUAACAGAAAAGAUAUAUGGAACCUACUGAUUCUACUAUAAAGUUUCAACAUACAAUACUGUAUCUGAGUUGAUACGUAUUAGGAUCAUUUGGUUCAUCUAACCCAAGUUGCAGAAACUUAUUGACGAGUUGCAAAGAUUACUCUCACUUUAUAUAUACGAAAAAUUUAGCAUUUUUGAAGGGUCAGGAAAUGUAUGCCACCCAGGUACUUGCCCGGUACUUGCCCAACAAUAUUUUAGACCUGUUUAUUUGCUAAGCUGUAUUUAGGUUUUGUUUUAAAAUGAAUAAACUUUUGCCCAUGAAAUCACUUCAUUGUUUGAAGAUGCUGUAGUUCCUAAUGGUUUUAUGUGCAAUCAGAUACCGCAAUCAAAAAGAUGCUUGCCACAUUGGAAGACCCUUUCACUCGGUUUCUUGAGCCGGAAAAGUUCAAGAGUCUACGGGUACAAGAAGAUUUCUUCUCAUGAUCUUAGUUUAUUCCAUUUUGUUUUGAAUAAGGAGAAUGACAGAAUGUCUCAUUCCACAUCAAAGUAACACUCUCAAUCUAUAUAUAUUAUAUUAUAUAUUAAAUAUUAUAUUAGUACAGCAUAUAAGGAAUUUCAAUAUAGAUGUUGUCCCUAAAAUAUGUUUAUAUCUUCUCUGAAGGCAGUCUGGUACUCAAGGCGCUCUUACAGGCGUAGGGCUGUCAAUUGGCUACCCUACAAAAUUUGAUGGAUCAUCAGCUGGUCUAGUUGUUAUUUCAGCUGCUCCAGGUGGUCCAGCAAAUAGAGCUGGCAUCUUGUCUGGGGAUGUCAUUUUGGCAAUUGAUGAUACAAGCACCGAAACAAUGGGCAUAUAUGACGCAGCAGAGCGGUUACAGUAAGUUUCUUAUCCUUUCAGCCAUCUAAAUGUCAAUUUAUUUUCUACAUGUUUACAAUUUGAUAAGAUGCAAUUAUACUUUGCCAUUAUGGCUUACAAUUAUAUAUAAUGAUGUUGCUGCAAUGCCUUUGCUAGGUAGCACAUUGUAUAUACAGAAGACAAAUUGUCCUUUCUGAUCAAUUGAGUUCGAUUCUGUUUUAGCCGAAGUUACUUAUCUAUCUCUAGCUGCGUAUUAUGAAAAACAAAACUCACGUAGGGCGGUAGGGGUAGACGGGUAGUUGAAAACUGUGCUUAUAAUUCGUUAUGACGUCUCAAGUGGCUUUGUUAGUUAGUACCAGUACGGGGUUGUUUAUCUGGUGAGCACACUAAAUCUAAAGUUGAAAACCUAUAUCAUUAAGAAUCUGAAGUGACUCUUAAUCUUUGAACCCUUGAAUUACUGAGUAUUGUCUGGUUUCUUGAGUAGAAUGAUAUUCCAGAGCUAUAUUCUUUCUGCAAAGUUUCUUGUUUCAUUUAUAUCCACUUCUCCUAAUUGUUUCAGGGGAUCAGAAGGAAGUUCAGUGAAAUUAACUGUUCUUAGUGGACCUGAAAUCAAGCACUUGGAUUUAGUGUAAGCUCAGUUCUUCAUUUAUCCGUGCAAGAUAUUGCAAUUAAUAGUCCGGCUUGUACUUUGUUCUAACUUCCCCCACUAUUUACACCUUUCUGGCUUCUAGGCGGGAGAAAGUCUCGCUGAAUCCAGUGAAGUCAAGACUAUGUGUAGUGCCGCAAUCAGGCAAGAAUUCUCCUAGGAUUGGCUAUAUCAAGCUAACAACAUUCAAUCAAAAUGCAUCUGGUAGGUAGAACAAAAGUGGUUAUUCUUUAGGUUGUGUCAGCUCUGGUACUGGUAUCCCAAUAUGUUAGAACAUAAGUACAGAGAACCAGAACUUUUCUGUAUUAUGCGUAAUUUAAGAACUUGUAUCCCUUGCAGGUGCUGUGAAGGAAGCAAUUAAAACUUUAAGGGAUAAUAAUGUUAAUGCCUUUGUGUUGGACCUUCGAGACAAUAGGUGAUUAUCCUUUAAUGUGGGUCUUGUAAACUAUAACUUUGGCAAUCUUUCUGGUAAGCAUAACUUUGCUUAUGUUUGAUGCAGUGGUGGUUCUUUCCCAGAAGGAAUUGAAAUUGCCAAAAUUUGGUAAGCUAAACUGCAGAACUCUUAUAUUGCAUGUCUUAACUUUACUGUUCAUUGUGGUUUUGAUUACUCAAAUUGUUUGAUACUGUUUCAACUAUUCAAAUUGGUAUUUUCUCUGGGGAAGACAAAAAAAAUGUAGCUUGAGGGCAUAUUCAAUCCUGGCAAUCCUGGCUGACGAUGAAUUUUCUUGAUACCUUUUUUGCCAUACUGAAAUAACUAAUGUCUGCACUCAGUCAUUGCCAUGUCAUAUAGAUUUUGUUUUCCUAAGAACUUAUUUUAUUCUAUCAUGUCUCAGAAAUUCAUUGUUAGUAUUUCAAAAUCAAAGUUCACACUUCCCCAUAUCCAGUCUGAUUAGAUGUCAUAACUGGAUUUUUCCUUCCAGGUUGGACAAAGGCGUGAUUGUAUAUAUUUGUGAUAGUCGUGGUGUUCGUGAUAUAUAUGACACUGAUGGAAGCCAAGCAGUAGCCACUAAAGAACCCCUAGCUGUGCUGGUAUACUUUCUAUACGUUUCAAAUUGAUUAGAUGGUCAUGAAAUUCCUUGAUUUAUAAGCAAACAUUCCAAAUACUUUUGGGCCACGUCUCAUUCUGUUAUUCUGUUAGAUAGGGGACUUAAAUUUUCAUUUCUGAUUUCUGUCUUAUUAGCUGGGAACACUUUUAUGGUUGGUAAUUAUACUAUUGGUUUAAAAUCUGACAUUCUUGCAACAAAAAAAAGGAUUAUUCUUGACCCCUUCGACUUAUUGUGUAUGUGUAUAUAAGCACCGAUAGUACAUUGUCCGUCAAUGAUUUUUGCUGUUGAGAUUGUGGUGAUUUGUUUUAUGAUUUUGUCGAGAUUUCUUUAGGUGAACAAGGGUACUGCUAGUGCAAGUGAAAUAUUAGCCGGGGCAUUGAAAGACAAUAAUCGUGCUGUGUUGUUUGGAGAACCUACAUUUGGGAAAGGGUAAGCUUUGUCUAUAGUUAACAUAGUUUAUGCGAAUACUCAUAUACUCCUGACAUGAACUGUCUCAUCCAAUUAUGCAGGAAGAUUCAGUCAGUUUUUGAGCUGUCUGAUGGUUCGGGCUUGGCUGUUACUGUUGCUCGUUAUGAGACACCUGCUCACACAGACAUAGACAAGGUCUGGUGUUCUCUCUCAUAUGUAAAUAUGUAAUAUAGUUUUGUUUUUAACAAUCUGUAUAUAUAUCAACUUCAUUCAGUGAAUAUCUGAUUGUAGGUUGGUGUGAUUCCAGACCAUCCUUUGCCAACCUCAUUUCCGAAAGACGCAGACAGUUUCUGUAAGUGCCUCCAGGACCCUGCCUCUACUUGCAACAAGGUGGAACUAUUUGCAAGAUGACACUAGUCUUUGUGUAUGUUAAUUACAGAAAAAUGACAAUUGCUUACAGAUGUAGUUCUACAUUCUUUCAAGGUUAACCUCAUUUGAUGUAUAGGUAGAACUAUCCAGAAAUGCAAGCAAUGUGAUUUUAUAUGAUUAUUUAUGACAGAAUACAUAGUCCAUGAGUAAUUGUGCCCUCAGUUUUACAACAUUCAUUCCCAACCUUCUGAGAUUCAAUAUGUUAUGACAGUUGGUAAUCUUUCAUAAGAGUUAUGUGGUAGUGCAUCCAGACAGUUGGUAAACUUUCACAAGAGUUAUGUGGUGUUUAGUACAAAUGUGGCCGACUUUAUGAGGGAAUGAUCGUUGAUCUAUUAGAAAGGGUGGAAGUGGAAGCCCAUGAUAAGUAAUUGGGACUUUCAACAUAUGUGGGAAGGAAGAAGACUGCUACUUUGCAAUAUAUAAACGACAUAUUGUCCAAAAAGUUAGCAAUUUCGCUGGGAAAGCUUUUGAGUGGGGCUGGCAAAGAUGUUCUUAUCAACGUAGUUGCUCACUCAGCUGCCUACUCAUGCUAUGAGUGUGUUCCAACUUACAGAGAAUUUUUGUGAUGAUUUUUGAACAAAUGUGUGGACGUUUUUGGUGGGGGGAGUACUCUCUUGACAAGAGAAAAAUCCAUUGGAAGUGUAGGAAAGCUCUAUGUAAUCCUGAGGAGGGUGGUGUGGGUUUCCGGAGCUUAUCAAAUUUCAGUACGGCUAUGUUGGCUAAACAAGCAUGGAUAUAUAAAGCAAAGUACUUUCUGGCUACUAGUUUUUGGGUAAAAGAAGCUCCUGUUGCUUCCUCUUAUUCACGGCGGAGUUUAUUCUCUACCCGAAACAGUGUUCUUAUUGGCAGAUUGGUAAGGGUGAUUCUGUUAAUAUAUGGUCCGACUGUUAGAUACCUGGUGUUCCCAAUUUUAGGCCUACUGAUGAUGGUUGGAGAUCUUUGGAAGUGAAGUUGGUCUAUGAUUAAGAGAGAUGGAAAGAUGAUGGUUUGAUACGGAGAGUUUUCACCAGGGAUGACGCUGUUUACAGUGCAAGAAUUGUUGAAGACCGAGAGGUUUGAGAUUGGAGAAAUGUGGUAACUUUACUAACUUCUUUUUCCAAUUCCAAUAUGAUCGAAGGCCUUUCCAACUAUCUGUGGGAGUCGGUUUUGGAACAAGAGGCUAAGGUUCAUAUAUGGAGGGUAUGAACCUUAGAGAGAUUGGCAUAACUUUCUACAUUAGAAAGUUAUGCCAUAACCUUAGGGUAUGAACCUUAGAAAGUUAUUAUUCCAAAUUCUGGCCAUAACAUUUUACCUUCAUUAGAGAAAUUGGCAUUUAAGAGAGUGGAGUUGGAGUCACAUGUUUGUGUGCUUUGUUCAUCUGAGUUAGAGACAACGAUUCACUUAUGCAGGGGCUGCCGAUUUACCAAGCAGGUUAUCAAUAAUAGCAGGGACUGUCAAUCCUCACUAUGCCCAUUAGGACCUUCUUGAAUGGUUUUCUAUGUGUGUUCUUGAGCUUACCAUUAAAGAGUUGGGGGACUUUGUUUAUCCGUUGUGCGGUUUAUGGAAAGAAAGGAACGUUAGGACUUGGGAGGGCAGAAAUGUUAAUCAUGACGCCAAAUGUGGAAGUAUUGGCUUUGUUGUUCGUGACAGUUUGGGGGGCUUUCAUUGCUGGUGGUGGUUAAGGCAUUCCAGGGUAUGUAAAGUCCAGAGCACAGCAAGAUACCGAGCUGCAGACAAGCUUUGAGCUUUCUAGUGGAGCAACCUGCUAUUAUUGAAACUGAUGAGGUGGUUCAGCUACAACUGAGGGAGAAUGAUGAGUCUAACAAGGUGCUGGGUCGGAUUUAGGAUGAUUUGAAGCUAGUGCUACAGAGUCAUUCCAAUGUGAAAAUAGUACAGGUGAAUAGGUCGCUGCCCGUCUCAUGGCAGCUCAUACUUGUGCGCAGGCACAUGAAUUUUUUCUAUUUUCUGUUCCUUUCUAAUGCAGCUAUGUAAUCUUUUUCCCAGUUUCAAUAAAAUUUCUAACCUCCUUCCUCAAACCAAAAAAUAAAAAUAAAAUAACCAAAUUCUACACCUUGUCCGGAACCAAAUGUAUCAAGAAAUUUUAUUGGUAAUAUAUACUAUGGCCUAAGGUUAGGCAACUCAGAAAGUGGCUUACUUAUACCCUCACAAAAUCAUCACAACGCAAAUUGGUUUUGGUUGAUGCUUCGAUCUUAGGCAACUCAGAAAGUGGCUUUAAUUAUACCCUCACAAAAUCAUCACAAACGCAAAUUGGUUUUGGUUGAUGCUUCGAUCAUAUCGUCUAACCUUGGUUGAUGAUUCUGAAACUAAUGUCAAACCAAUCGGUGUCGCACUCAAGUUUGAAAUUGCUGUAUUUACCAAAAUAUCUUUGUCCAUGAACCCAAAAAAGGGAAAACUGCAAUCAACAACCUCAGCAGAAGAGGUGUGUCACUAUUUCUUUCUCUCCGACUCAACUUUCCCUUCCCUCUAGACUUUCUUCGAGAUUUCCUCCUUUCAAAUUGCAUUCUUUCAAGAUCAUCCCAUCCACCCAAACUUGACAUUUCACCACUAUUACCAACUGAAACAUCAUUCCCAACUACCCAAGAUUGGUAGUCCAUCUUUUUGUUAUCAGUUUCCUGAUCUUCAUUAUAGGUUUCUUCUUCGUCCAUUUUAACACUAGCUUCACUGGUGGCAGAUGGUUUCCUUCUCAUCCUGGACUUGCGUCUUGGCCUUCUUUCUGUCCUUCCCCAUAACUUCUCAAAUGCCAGUGAAAGGGCGGACUGACCAAGGGGAAGUGCUAAUGCCAUGAGGAAUGCUUUUGGACCCGAAGAUAGCAGCAGAGAUAUGAUAAUAAAUGGAAAUGCCCAACCAUAAGAUUUGAACACCUACACCCACAAGAAAACUAUUUAUAUUUGGAUCUUUGGACCUAUGAAAAGAGAUAUCAUUUAUAACUACAACAAUCAACCAGUACAAGCAUGAUAAGAAAUAUUAGUGUCUAAAAGAAUAUCAAAUUUUGACUGAGAGAGUUUGUAUAAUCUUCGUUAAGUUGUUCGUAUUUGCUGAUGUCUUUUGGUAGUCAUUUCAUCAGAAGGUUUCUAUUCAGGAAUAAAAUGGUAUUAAAUCUUUCAUUCAAAUACUAUAAACAAUCUGACCAACAUACGCGAAGUAUAGGUUGAUUUAAGCAAGGCAGAACAUCUGUGUGUAUAAACCAACCCAGAAUACUAGUCAGUUGCGUAAGUAUUUUGUCAGCCCAAAAGCACCAAUUCGUUGACAGAAAAGCAUUGAACAUGCUGCUGCGCGGACAGCACAAAUUAUCAUUGUCUGCUCAUUCUCUUGUAAACCAAAUAAUCAAUUAAUCUGCCUAUCCAAAAUCACCCCCUCUGUGAAAGGAAUAGCUACAACAGUUCAUGCCAAGAAACACGUUAAGAUUUUCCCUUUACGUGCAGAUGAUGAUGCACACUAAAACUAAGGCACUCCAAUGGCUGUUAUCUAUCUUAAGGCGCCUUCCCUUAGCUGAAAUAAUGCACUCAUCUGCUGUUUAUCUCUGGGAAUCAUAUUCGAACAACAUUGUGUUUAACACUUUAACAGUUUAACAUCAGCUCUCUUCCAAACUUACUGCUAAACAUCCACCCAAAAGCUGGAAAAGGAAACUAACUGAUUUGCGAGAAACUAGGGAAGACAUUUGGAAAGUUUACAGAUUCCCUUGAUAUAUUACAUCAGUCUUAUGCUAUUAAUGUUCCUUGUACCCUAAGCUUUAUGUUUCUAAGGAAAAUAAUUAUAGCCUCUACACUAAAACUAAAAUUUACUACAGUUGCAAUGUGCAAUCAUAACUGAAUAGGAUAAAUCUUGAUGCAUAUUUGGACUUUAAACACAUACCAUGUUCAUCAAAAAAGCCUUAUAAUUGCAACAAACAUCAAACCUAUAGUUGUAUAAACAAGCAAAGAACAAGUCAAAAUGAGCACCUUGAAAAUCCAGACACUGUCAAUGGCUUCCUCCAAGACCCCAGAAGGGCCUUCCUCCAUUUCAGAGGGCCCAUCUGACCACCACCUCCUUCUCUUCUUCUUCUUCCCUUUACUUGUACCGUAACCAUAAUCCUCUUCUUCCUCGUAGUCAUCUUCUUCUUCUUCAUAUUCAUCUUGGUUUCGUUUGUCUCUGAAGCUAAAACCGAAUGUUUUGGAGCGAAUGGUUUCGGCAUUGGAAUCCCAGCGGCGGUAGCAAGUAGUGUAAGAGCGAAGUAAAUGAGAGGAAGGAGAAGGUGGGUUUUGGAAAAGAGAGUGAAGGGAGUAUCUGGGUCUUCGCCAUGGUUGAGGGUGUGUCAGGACCAGGACACUGCUCUCCAUUACCGCUCUGAGCUUUCCAUCUGCCACGUCUUUGUUAUCUUCUCCCCAAUUUAACCUCUUUCCGCCAAAAGCAAAUGUCCAGUUAAAAAGUUUAUUUUCAACCACCAUUUAAAAUUAGAUGUAAUUUCAAGAGUGAAGAAAUGCUAUGUAUAAUGUUCCAAUGACUCAAGGACUAUGCAAUACUAAUAUAUUUCACUAUGAUCCACUCCUUUGAAUGAUGUUCUCAAAGUUCGGUUAAUUUGUAUGAUAUACGUGUGUUAGACAAAUGUUGGACACAAAAAUGUUCUAGAUCUUACACGUAUAGUAUUUGUUUUUUUUACUAAUUCAACCUAACAACCCCUACAUCUUUGGUAAACAAGUGAAGAGAGGUUGAGAAGAGAGAAAUAAAAAGGAAAAUGAGAAUUAGGAGCUAGAACCUAUAUCACACACAAAGAGUGAAAUCAUAACAUCACCUUAAUUGGUAUAAGAAUUGUGGGUCGAAUAUUUGUUUGGUUGAUGAUCGUGUAGAAAAGAGAAAUAGAGGAAGAAUUUGAGAAGAAAGAGAAGCUCGAGGCCAAUUUCUUUGGAGGUAAUGUUUGUUUGUCUUGAUUACCAAUCUUCUAUAGCACCACACUUUGUUUAUGUUUCUUGAUUCAUGAUCUAGAAUUCAAUCAAUCAAAGCAAUCUAGAAGGAUUAGAAAACAAUUUCUUUAGAGAAGGUGUUAAGAUCUCUAAAUUGUCUUUUUAAUCCUUUCUACAUCUCUCUCUCUCUCUCUUUUUUUUCUUUUUUUCCUUCUCCACAAUUUUCAUUUCUUAUGUUUUCAAUUAAACUCACAUAUUACAUUUAAAGACUUUCUAGAUUCAUAAACUAACACAUAUAAUGAGAUCGAACAUCUCCAGUAGUAUUGCUAAACUGGAAAUUUAUCAAUUUUUAAGGUAAAUUGAUGCUCUAGCAGAAUACAUAAACUAUUGCUAAAUUUGAUAAUUGCUAAAUGAAAUUGACAAAUUUAUCAAUGGUCCAUACAUAACUAAAUAAUAGCUAAAUCUUUUCUCUCUCCUCUCUUGCCCACAUGUCACUUUACAAUUUGUUAAAACAUAAAAAAAAACAAUUGUUGAUGAAGCAACAUUGUUAAAUCGAUAUCUAAAUUUCAAAAUUAUUGCUAAAUAUAUCAAUUUCUGAAUCUCACUGCUAGAGAUGCUCCACAACACUUUGUAUCCCCCAACCACAUUAAAAGAGGAAACAUCGACGAGAUUAGACCCUAGAUAUAAGAGGAAAAGUUAGGUCUCACAACCAUUUUUUUCCUACCGAAGAAAAAAGGAGCAAGUAUAUAAUGAUUAUUAAGGUUUUUUUUUUUCUUUCUAGUCGGUGAAAAUCUAAAAUCCGCAGAGGGAAGAUAAAUAUAAAAGGACAACAUGUCGCAAUUCACGAGACAAAAAGCGAGCACUCCAGCGGAAAUCCAAUACGCUCGACGCUCAGCGGCGAUAGCUUCAGUGAGACAGAGACGUUCUUCUUCUUCAGCUGCGACGACGACGACGAUGAGGCCCACCGACUUCUUCGGCGACAUGGACGACCAGGGCUCCACCAUGGCCAUGGACGUCGACGACCUCGACCCCCUCGAGUACCUCGGCGGCGACGGCGUCAUCGGUGACAACAAGCUCACCGACCUCGACUUCUUCAACUCCUUCGAGGACGACUUCGACGAGUCCGACAUGACCGCCCCCGCCAACUAGGCCGCGCCGCCGCCAAGUAAUCCUCUGGUUUUGAUUUCGAUAUGUCAUUCUAGGGUUUCCAAUUUGGGAAUUUAGGGUUUUUAUGCGGUAUUGAUAUUUUGGAUUGGUUUAUGAUGAAUGUAUAUAUAUAUAUAUAUAUAAUAAUAUAUAUAUAUAUAUACGUUGCGGUUUUUGUGACUUCGUUUUGGUUUGGAUUAUGCAAGUUUAAAUCUAUGGUUGCUGAAAAAUUGUGAAUAUUUUCAAUGCCUAUUGAUUUUGUGUAUGAUUUACGUGUGGUGUGUCGUUAUUAAGUUUCAUGUAGUCUGGAUCAGUUAGUAAAUUAGUUUAGUGAUUCACAUAUAGAUUAGAGCAAAACAGAGAGCAACAUUGUUAAGCAUUUGUGUUGAUGUGGAAUUCGGAAUGGUGGAUAGUAGCGUCUCCUUUUUUUAGGUUCGUUAGAAUGUCGAGGGAAGGUGCAGUUGUUUGUGAGUGAUUUUGUUGAUUGGUGGUGUGAAUGAGAUUAACUGUGUGGAAGUACAUGAUUAUUUGGGACAUUGUCAUGUCGUAAAUCGAUCGCUAGGUGCUUAAAAAUUGAGGUAAUAAACCUUUGGAGUUCUGCUGAUUGUUAUCUUUCUUGGCAGCUGUAUAGUUCAAAUCCUGAAAUAAAUGAUGAGUAAAUUCUGCAUUAGUAAAACUAUAGAAGCUUGAGUUGGUUGUUUCUGUUGUAUUUAGAGAGUUGUUCUUGUGAAUCUGCACGCUGGUGUCACACUUGAAUUGCUGUAGUUGAGUAAAAUAAGAUCCAGAGACUGUCCCUGUUGCUAUAGAUCGAGCACAGUGUCGUAUUUUUGUAUAAUUUGUCAGUCAGAAGUUAUAGGGUGUACUUGCAUAUGCAAAAUGAAAGGUAAAUAAAAAAAGACACAAGAGAAAAUAGUUUGAAAAAUUUGAAGGAUGGAUGUUGACCCUACUCACAUGAGGAUGAAACUAUGUUGUAAAGUUUACGAGUCUAAUUGCCUAGACAGGAUUAAUUGAAGAUUAGUUGAACUAUGACGGGGGCAUUAGUUGACACUCAUGUGAUUCAGUAGGAUCUUCUUCUGUAAUAGCUAGAAAACAUUGGUUUUUGUUAAAAAAUGAAGAUUAGCAUGAUGCAAGGUCUCUAUCCCUUUUCGAGAGGUAUCAGAUGCUUGGGCAACUGGUUCAUCUGUUUGUGUAUUGCUAUUUGUCUAUUGUGAAGUUCAAAUCUUUCUAGUUUGUUUGUUUCAGAGAUCCGAAUACCCACUUGUUUGGUGCUCUGAGCAUUGAUGAAUUAAAGUUUUUAGGCUUCUUGUGCAGAUUAAAGUUCAAUCUUUUUUCUUUGGUACAUGGUCUUGAAAAUUGGGUGUUUGGAUAAUGAUCAGCACUUGGAAACUUCCAUUCAAGAACUACCUUUGAAGUUAAAUCUUUUGUGUUCAUAUUCUACAACGUACAUUUUUGCCAUAGGUUUGUAGAAAACCCAAAAGAGCUGUGGCAUAUUUCUUAUCAGAUCAGAGAUUUCUGACAGUGUAAAUGUCUAGUACAUAAUUCGAUGCGCAAGCCUUUACUUCACCAGUUAAAUCUGUACUGUUUUGUGUUUUCCAUCUGCUUUCCAGUAUUCCUACCCAGGUCAUAGUAGAGAUGAAAUGGACAGUUGAAUUCUAAUGUCCAGUUAUCAGUAGAGCAAAGCAGCUAAACUCUUAAACCAGCAUACAUAACAUGGAAAUAUCAAUUACUAGAAGCUUGUAUAUUUCAUGUAGAUGUCUCUGUUAAGGUUCUUAAUUACAAGAAAAUAAAAGACCUCUAGGAAAAUAUACCAACCAGAAAAAAAUGUUUAGGAUGCUCUCUCUCUCUCUGUUUUCUCUGGUUCCUCUUUGGGUCGGCGGCAACGGAUGGAGGCUUCUCCUCCUCUAUGCUCAGGCUGGCAACGGCGAUUGAAGAGAGUGCUUCUCUCUCUUCUGAUUGUUUUUGAAGAGAGUGCUUCCCUCUCUUCUGAUUGUUUUUGGUCUGCUGGUGGCGGUUGUCACAUGCAGUGCAUGGGGAUUUCGAAUCCCGAGGUAGCCGUGAGGGCUGGUGGUUUUCUAGGUGCUAGGCUCAACGAGGAUGGGGAUUGCGGCUGGGAUCGAAGCUGUGGUGGUGGGAGUUGGACCUGGUUCUCUUGGAUCGGCUUAAUUCCUUGCCAUCCUACCGGCCAUGGUGGCGAUCUCUGCUUGUCUACAGGUGUUAUCAUGGUUUGGCUUAACGGGGGAGAUCAUGGCCUCGCCAGGAUCGGGAACUCUUGGGGGAGCGCUUGGCACGAUAGCGGUGUACAAGGGAUGACGGCAACCGUCUGCGGUGGUGGCUGUAUGAUGUGUAUAGCAAGUGGAUUCAGGCUUAACACGGGCCGCAUGAAAGCUAGGCCGCCAGAGUUUAUCACUGGUCCUAGUCUGUUUGGGUCUGGUCCUCCACCUGGGGAGACCCCCUCUGUGUAGGGUGGUUCCGGGUGAAUUCGAAUAAGUUAGAUUCUUCUGACAUGUUGGUUACUAGUUACAUGAUGAGCUUAAUAAUCCCAGGGUUAAUAGCAUAGAGCUGUUAAUAUAAGGCUUGACGUCCCUUUCUAAAAAAUCAAAGGUUCUUAAUUACAAUAGUAAAUCCACAAGGAAACAUAACACACUAGUAUAUGCCACAGAAGAGUUGAGAACAACGGUAGAAUAACUACCAUUUACAGUUUGAAUUCAGAACAAGAGAGCCUUUUCACUUGUUUGAAACACACCUAAACUAUGGUGCAUACAAUUCAGCGAGAUUGCAAGAAGGAAUUAGGUUAACCUCAACUGAAAAGAAAUGUAGUAUCCUGAACUCCAAGCUACGCCUAGAGAAGCCAGAUGAAUGCAUAUGGCUGCCGACACGGAGAGCCAGCAAAACUAUAGGAUAUGUUUUCUCCAGAAUAAUGAUAGUUCAGAGAGCCCUGGGGACGGGAAGAAAUAGUUAUCGACUUAUCGCUGAGAGCUCCCCCCACCUUGAGCCGAAGGCUUGGAUUAGUACUUGGAUAGUUGGGUAAGGAUUAAACAGUCAAAACUUUUAAAAAGAUGAACUGAAAAUGAAGAAUGGGAAUUACCUCCUUUUUUUUCGCAGCAUCUUAAAAUAGGCGUUUUUUUUUUUUUUUGAAAGGGCAGGAUUCUAGCUUAUGAUUGAACAAAUUCUAAUGGAAAUAACGAGAUCAAAAGAUAAGUAACAUAGUUUUUCCACUUGACAUAUAUGAAAGACUGAAAGUAUAUAGGAACUCUAACCAAAAGUAAGAUUUUCAAUCUCUAUAUAACCUUCAACAUAAAUCAUGAUCUUCAUACAUAAGCAGUAGAACCCUAGAUACGUGAAAAAGGGUUUGGAACAAACAAGAUGCUAUACAUAUCAAGCGGCAUUUUACCAACACAGACCUCUUCGACUUUGUUUCUCCACAUAAACAAACCAUAACGAUAGAAUGGGGGUUGAUUUUUAACUUUGAAUGGACGAGUAAAGUAGAUUGAAUUCUGAUCAUAUUCUGGUAAAUCUUUUGAAGAUAUCGAUAUAGAUUGUCUGAUACUCAAAACCAAAGCAUGAUCGCCAAUGGAGUCGACCGCUAUCCAUCUAUCAUUGGAAUCCCGUUUAUACAUAUGGAACACAGUUGGUUCCAUGAAACUACGAUCUAAGAGCCCAACGACCAGGAAAAGAUCAUCGACGCCUAUUUUGAUUAUGUAAGGAAUAGUACGGAGCCGGUUCGUUUGGGUGGUGCCUAAUUACUAUAGAGGACGCGUCCACUUUGAUUUCCAAUUUUUGGCAGGAAAGGAACUCACGAAAUCCCAUACUUGAACUGUAGACUGAUCACAACACAGAGCAUUCUCAAAGCUCGUAAUAUCUUGGUGAUCACAACACAAAGCAUAAAGCUGAUUCUCAUAGCUCGUAAUAUCUCGGUAUGCUCUUUGUUCAUCAAGUUUUGUCCACUCAUCAUCUGCAGUCGUACAGAACGCGAGAGAAUAACCACGCAUCAUCUGCGUCACAUAUCUGUACAAUACAAACACCCCAAUGCUGCUGCUUCUUUUGUUGUUGCUGUUGAGAAUUGGCCGAGAGGACAGAAUUACUGCUGUGGUUCUAAACUUUGUCCUAAUAUCUUCCGCUAAUCUAAUUUCUAAACAGAACGAUCGUGGUGGUGUAGUAGGAUCCGGAUUGGUGAUUUUGAUAUGUACUUCGCUUUUGAUUUUAGACGAGUCUUCAUCAUGGUAAUGAGCAAUGUAAAGUAUAUCUGGGAAACUUCUGAGAGGUGGAAGUAGAAGUUGUGUGCCAGAUAAGGGAUUAAAGAGCAGAAGCUUUGAAAAGUUCAUCUUCUGCAAGACAAGAACGAGAAGCCAGCCUUGAUCAGAACCGAGGCAAACACGAUGACCUAGUUCUUCAGGAAUGUUCUUGUUCAAGUUGUAAGUCUUUCCUUCAAGACUGUAAAAACGAAACCCACAGUGACCCAUCUUGCUGGGGAAGGAGGUGCCAUGGUGGUUCUGGUGCACAAGUGAAUGAUGAUGACCUCAGGAUGAAUUCGACUGCCCUUUUCCAUGAAGGACAAACUGCCUUGAAUCGUAGUAUGGAUUUUGGGGUCAGUUUUGAUAAGAUAGUUUCACAAGGGUCAAUAGGAAGUUCGGACCAGUUUGGUUUUCUACUUCUUAGUUUGGUGGACUGCAGGGUUGUUUCGUCAGCCAUUGAUGAUUGAUCUUGAAGAGGCAGAAGGAUGUGAGGCCGAUCGACUCUUUAUAGAGUAUCAAGAAAGUAAAUAAUCCUAGUUCUAGGACAAGUAAUAAACCUAAUUAUUGCAUAAGGUAAGCAGUAAACCCGAAUUAAAGUAGAAUAUUACUUAUAUAAGAAUAUCCUUUUUUUUUUAACGAUUAUAUAAAAAUAUCCUAAUUACAUAUGGUAAGUAGAAUCACAAUCUGAAUAGGUUUCCUACAGCCAAUUGGAUUUUUAAAGGACUGAGCCUAUAUAUAAAUCUUUGAGAAGUAUUGUUCAUACGUAUUAUUUGAAGGGAUUAAUUUUGCAAUGGUGCAUCUGAGGGGAGAUGAACUGAUGAACCAAGCUGUAGCUGUAUUGCAAUCUAUGAAGGAGAGACUCUGUAUUGCAUGCCAAAUUGAAGAAGGUUUCUUCUUGGGUUCUGUUGGAGCUGCAAACAACAAGGAAGAGCUGAAAAACUGAACGUCACACACAUUCUGACUGUCGCCGAUUCUUUGCCACCUAAAUAUCCAAACGAUUUUGUGUAUAAGGUUGUGGAAGUUGAAGACAGAAGAACCACAGACCUGCAACAACACUUUGAUGAGUGUUUCGAUUAUAUCGAAGAAGCUAAAACAUCUGGGGGUGGUGUGUUGGUUCAUUGCUUUUCAGGAAAAUCGAAAAGUGCGACUAUUGUGCUAUCUUAUCUGAUGAAAAAGCAUCGUAUGAUUCUAUCUGAAGCUCUUAAACAUGUGCAGAGCAAAAGACGAGAGGCAGAUCCUAAUCUUGGUUUUAAGAAACAACUGCUAGAGCUUGAAACAGUGUUAGGCCUGCCAAAACCUUCACAUCCAUAGACGACGACGCUUGGGAUCCAGUCGGGGACUCUGACACAAGACUUUUGAGCGAGUUUUAUUCAAUUGCAUUAGAAUUUCGUAGUGAGAAAUUUUCCUCCUUAUUUUACACAAUUUCUGAAAUUUUCAAAUAAGAAUGCAAGUUUUUCUUAAGUCGGUUGUUCAGGUAUUCUCAUUGAGUAUCAGCUAUAUGUUUAUUUCAUAUAUGUGCACAACGGGAUUCAAUUCCAUUCGAUUAUAGUUUAUUAAUGUAGUUACCGUAGAGCACAGAUUUGGAUGUUCAUUCUAACAAAAAGGUAGCAUAUAGCUAGGGUGACUCCACUAGCUGCACCAAACAAGAGUCUAAAUGUUAUAGAUAAGGGCGUUGCUAAAUGUACCCAGCAAAGUUCUAUGUAGACCCAGCAAAUUUUACCUAUUGUUGUCAAUUGAAACCCAACAAACUCAUACCUAGCGAAUCUCAAGCAAUCGAUCUCCUCCCUGAACUCGUCAUGGUCUACACCCUUCACCCACUCUAAUCUCCAUCCAUGAUGCUCUUUUGCUAUAAUUAAUCCCUUAGCAUCUGAUUUAGUUUUAUUAAAAUCUCUCGUAUCUUUUUUCUUAAAAAAUUAGUUUCUUUUUACCCGCUGGUUCAAGGUAGGAACCUCUCACGAUUCACAAAGAUUUAUAGAAGUAAAAUUAGGCUUUUACAAGAUGUCAGGUUGUGUUAAUAAGAUGCGCUUCGAAUCUUCUUCUUAGUUCCUGGGUUUAAUAGUUUCAAUAUGUAGUCUCUAAAGAAUUCAUUAUUCAUACUUAAGGCAUGUAGUAAAUGAAUGUUAGCUAUUUGAUUAAUUUGAUUAAGUAGAACUAGUAGAGAUUUCAAUUACUAGGGAAUUUGAUUAAACAAACAAACAUCUACAUGCAGUUCUUUUUUCUUUUUUUUUUUUUUUAAUUACACAUCUACACAGUUGAAUCACUUGUCCUUCAAACCAGAGAAUUUCCUACUGAUCCUAAGUUCUUGAUGAACAUGCAUUUCGUUAACGAUUGUAAGCUGAAACAAAGCAGACUGAAAAAUCAAAACAUUGCCCCAUUGCUACAAUCAAAGUUACAGUUAGCUCGUACAACUGCAAUGGACGGAGGCCAAAAUUUAAACUGUAAAACAUAUCAUUCUCUGAAGCACUAAAAGCAGAAAUAUAAAUUAGUUAUCUUUUCAUAAGAUAUGUUAUGGCACUGUAGUUCGUAACACAUGUUUCUGUAAACGAGAGAGUGAAAGCAAACAUGUAAGAGAAACAUCUUUACAACGAAGGCCUACGUAUUAGGCCAGGGCAAAAAAAAAAAAAAAAAAAAACAUAAUGCCUUGUUCAAGAUAGGAAAAAUCAAUUACAUUCCUAACAGUAAUGUUCCAGCAUAUACAAACAUCGUCAACAUCGUCCUUGACGUGUUUAGCUCCACCUAACUUAUCAGUUUGCUUGUCAAAUUUGAUACCCUAGUGUGUAGACAACAAUAUACUCUAAAAAGAAAAGGAGAAACAAUACAGAAAGUUUACAGUUGUAUUUUGAUGCCGAAUUGGGGACGUCCAAUAGUACAGGGGUUAACUUCUAUUGGUAAAAUACGGUGUAAUUCAGCGACAAGCUUCAUGAGUACACCAUGAUCUGAUCCUGAAGAAUAACAGAUGAGGCAACAUAAGUUUUCUACCUAACCCAAGGACAGAGCCAUUAUAAUGCAAACUUAGAUGAAGUUAUAUUAUCUUCUAAGUUUCUGCACGUUCUUUAUUCUAUAAAAAGGCAGAAGGCAGUACGAGUAAAGCAUUUUCUCUGGAUGCCACCAUCAGUGGUCCUCCACGACAUGAAUACUUAAACCAACCGACUUUGAAAUGAAGAAAAUUGUGGAGAGCUGAAGCAUUAAAAAGAAUCUAAAAUGAUCUUUAAAAAGAGAAACAAACCAGCUAGGCUGAGCAGUACAUCCCAGAAGUGGACAACGGAAGCUAGUCCCUAGCAUUCUAAAGCAUAGGUUGGGACCUACAAUAACAAGAUCAGUAACACUGUAAACAAAGCAUUAAGUACAAAACUAAAUCAUCACAAUCCAAAUCAACACACUGUCCCCUAGGAAAAACUCUUUAAUUGAAGAUGUAAAAAGGAAUUACUUUAAUUGAUGUGUCAAGCAAAUUUUGCUAAGAAUGAUAAACUGGGGCCUUUUUGUACCUCUAGCAUGUUUUCAUCAAGAAAACUGGAAGUUGUAUGACUCACGGCAUGAGAACUAUCAUAUUGGAGGAUCCUUAACUUCCCUUCCUACAUCACAUAAUAGGAACCCUCAUAAGUUCAGGAAACUAGCCGAGCAACCACAAAACAACAAGAGGAAAAUACCAAAUUCAAUUGCUUACUUUAGUUCCAUAAACAAGGCCACCUCCAACAGAAGGAUGAAAACAAGCUACGUUGACCUCAUCUUCUGCACUAGGGAGAAUUCUCACAAGUUCCAUAUCAGAAACUCUAUAUACCUGAAUAACAAAUGUAGGUCACUAAACUUAUCCCGAAAUGCACCUAGUACUUACUUAUACAGCUGUCCAACCAUAGUAUAGGAUAAAGAGGAACAACUAUACCACAUUAUCAGUAUCUAACUAUACCGUAUAAAGCUGUCCAAAUCACUUCUACUCUAAUGUAAUUUAUCCCAUUUUAUAAUUAAUCUUCUUAGGGUUACAUACAGAGUGAUUCUAUUCAUCACCCUAAUUUAGUACUUCGACCUCUAAUCAUCAUGUUUUGCCAUAACCUUCCUAUUUUACCCCAUAACCCUCCAUUAAAACCUUUUUAUCUCUUUCCUUUUUUUAUUUCAUAACCAGACCGUUUCCCAUCUCCACAGUAGAAACUGCUGGCUCACCUACAUGUUCUUCCAGUUCUAAUCUCUUGUAUUAUAUAUAUACAUAUAUAUAUAUAUGGAGCCGUUCCAAAGAGGACGUCUGCACAGCCCUUAAAGUGCGGACGUCCACCUCUGAUCCGGACCGUGUAUAUAUAUAUAUAUAGGAUUUUUCUCAGUUGCGGACGUCCGCACCAAUUUUUUGGUGCGGAUUUCCAUUUUUGAACCACUUUCCGAUCGAAUUUCCUCAUCUCCACCAUCUAGUAUCUAGAUAAUAUUGUGUAGAUCAUCUCUGCAAAUUUUCAGCCAAUUUGGUGAUCAUUCAGGCCCUCAAACUCGAAAAACAAAUGGACAGACUGAAUUCUGUCCGGUUGUGUUCAUACCAGAAAAACUCGAGUUUGAGGGCCUUAACGAUCACCAAAUUGGCUGAAAUUUUGCAGAGAUGAUCUACACAGUAUUAUCUAGAUACUAGACGGUGGAGAUGAGGAAAUUCGAUCAGAAAGUGGUAAAAAAUGGAAAUCCGCACCAAAACCGUUGGUGAGGACGUCCGCAGCCGAGAAGGGCUGUAUGUAUAUAUUUAUUUAUUUUUAGCAUAAAGCCAUAAACCUACCCCCGAGAAAGUUAAACAAUCAAGGAAAAGAGUAAAAGAGAGUAGAACAUUACAUAUCAUAUUGACAUAUCCAGCCGAUAAAAGUUAAUAAAAGUACAACAUCUUACCUCCAGAAUGGUGUAAAUAGGCACUGUUGUCUCUCCAUCAAUGACAACACUCUUAAGAAGUGAACUGUGACGUCGGCCAUAGGCAAGUAAUAUGUGUUCUGACGUAGGAGAGAACUGCCAUGGUAAAUUCGAUAUAAGUAUAACUAACUCCAAUAUGGGAUUUGAUUUAAGUACAACAGUUUGUUUGAUUAACAAAAAAAUUAUAGUUAGAGUUCUUGAAUCUUUGAAUAUACAAUGGGACUAUUCUUAAGAGUUCCAUCAUAUGUUCAGCCCAACAUAUAGGCUCUAUAGACAUGAGGUAUUACGUGGGAAAAUGGGAAAUUGAUGGCAGGUCAAUCCAAAGCCUAGAGAAUAUGAAAUGACACUAUUCUCCAGACUAGAAAUAUUAAUUGAGGGUUCAUGACUCAUCAUUCACAACCAAAAUGAUGUGUGUCACGACUUACAGCAAAAGUUAUACAGAGAAGAAAUGAGCUCGUGCCAGUUAUUAAUGUGUACCGCAUUAGAUCAAUAACUUGGUGUCAGGAGUCUAUAUAAGAAAUUUUAAGAUCCCCUAUAAUGGCAUUAUUGUUUUCUUCAAAAGAAGGUAGUAAUAAUUUAUAAAUAGAAGUUUACGUAUACUACGUGCAUGAUAGUUAAGAGGACAGAGGGAGGGGGGAACCAAAACACCAUAUUCAAAUGUAGCGGACCUGAAUAGAUGUCAAGCAGUGGGCAGCUCGUAUAGCACGGGAUGCAAGAACCAUGCCAAACCUAGAUAAUUUAAAAUAACAUCAGACAGUAUAAAGAAAGAAUUCACUGAACCAACAAGUUAAGUAAGUAAGAAAACAUUGUUAAAGGGAGCUUAUGCAUUACGUUGCCUCUUCGAGGGAAUAAAUCCGAAGCUCAUACACGACAUGGUGAGCUGAGAUUGGGUGCCGAGUUGGGGAAGUUGCUGCCCCUGUGAUAUCAUGGUUGGCCUGGCCCUGUAAUCCAGGAUCACCUUCCAAAUGAGGCAACAUACAUGCAACACAGGCUGCUAAAAACCUUCCACAAGGUGAAAAAUGGGCUCCCAUUUCACUGCAACAAAUUCUCGAGUAAAAAUCCAGAAAAUAUAAAGCCAGUAAUAAUAUUGAAUUCUAAACUGUCAUGUAAUGCUACAGAAAGUAGACAUAUCCUUUAAUUUUUUUUAAUACCCAGAAAUCCCCCAAAAUCAACUGCAGACCUGGGUAGAAACUAAUCCUACAGUCUAUUGACAGGAAACUCCAGCACAUAUCAAGGCAGAAACCUAGAGGGCAAUCAGAUCCAGCAUAUAUAUAUAUAUAUACAGCCCUUCUUGGCUGCGGACGUCCGCACCGAAGGUUUCGGUGCGGAUUUUCAUUUUUGCACCACUUUCCUAUCGAAUUUCCUCAUCUCCACCGUCUAGUAUCUAGAUAAUAUUGUGUAGAUCAUCUCUGCAAAAUUUCAGCCAAUNNNNNNNNNNNNNNNNNNNNUCCCCGACCACUUUCCAUCCCCGGCGAGUCCGCCAAAUUCCAGUUUUCCGACCAAAUCACCCAAAACUUCAACAAAGUCAAUCUGGCCGGAAAACUAAAAUUCGGCGGACCCGCCGGGGAUGGAAAGUGGUCGGGGAAGCUGCUGGAGUCGGCUGGGGUGGAGGCGCGCCCUCGCCGGCGCCGUACGGUGGCGAACGGACGAAAAUCCGCACCGUAAAACAGUGCGGACGUCCGCACCUGAGAAAAGUUCUAUAUAUAUAUAUAUAUAUAUAUUCGUGUAGAGAUACAAAAUUAGCACAACAAGCAACCAACUCACAACUGAUGAUCCUUCAUGAAAUAUUAUUGACCGAGGAACUGAGAAUAAAGGCAGUGUCGAGGUCCAUAACAGGAAAUUACCUACAAAGUACGGCAUGCGGAAUAGUCAAUCUUUCAGCAUCAAGGGGAGCACACGGAUCUUUCACAUCAUGUGGCCAAACUCUGAGCUUCACAGUACAAGGCAACUCUGCCGCCGCUGCUGCAGCUAGGGAGUUGGCAAGCUCCGAUUGAAUUCUGCUGACAACAGGUUGAGGCUCACUUUCACCGUUAGCAAUAUUAUUGAAUCCAGCACCCUCAUUAGAGCCAGUUGUUGGCAUCAUAUGAGAACGUGAAGUACGGUGCCGGGAACUAGAUCUUCCAGUAACUCUAGGUUGGUUUACAGUGGUCGGUAUUACUGAGGAAGUAAUAGGAGCUGCGCUGUCCAUCUCACCAUUUGUAGAUGGAUUGUCAUGGGGAGAAUCACUUACCAGCCGCAUAUUCCGUUGGCUAGCUUGGGUCUGACCGAUUAGCCACCCUUGCAAGAAAGGAAGUUCCCAAUAUGUUGAGUCACCAAAAGGGAAUAUAUUAUUACUUCUUCCUUCUGGUUGCACUUCCAUAGGCUCUAAAGUACCCAUUGAAGAUUGAGAAACUUCAGUUUCCAUUUCACUCAAGAUCGGACUAUUUCCCGUGUCUUCUGGCACUGGAGAAGAGCU